rnacentral:lncRNA from 1 species
AUAAUACAUCUCGGGCGUGCGAUGCUCCUUGCCCUCUGGUGGGGGGUCCGUCACAAGCUUCUGGGCAUCCAUCUUGCCCCAGUGCACCUUUGCGCGGGCAAGGGCCCAACACGCACCCUCGAUACAGGUGGAGUGCUUGAUAACUUCAACACACGGGCACACGUCCACCAGCCGCCGCACCAGGCCGAAGUAGCUCCCAGGCAUAGCCUCCUUAGGCCACAGCCGAACUAUGAGGCCCUUCAUGGCCUGUUCGGCCGCCUUAUGGAGCUCGACCAGCUGCUUCAGCUGGUCGCUAAGGCGCACCGGAUGUCCGGCCUCAGCAUACUAAGACCAAAAGACCUUCUCCGUUGAGCUCCCCUCCUCGGUCCGGUAGAAUGCGGCAGCAUCGGACACGCUGCGGGGAAGAUCUGUGAACGCUCCUGGAGAGCUCCGAAUUCGGGUAAGCAAUAGGUAAUUAACACUCACAUGCUUACUUUGCAUGAAAAAUGCCUUACCCGCUGCUAUUUUCUUCACCGCCUCUAUCUCCUGGAGGGCCUUGUAGGCUUCGGCCUUAGCGGCUUUGCCACUCUCAAGAGUCGUUGCAAGCUCAGACUCUCGAGUCUUCACGUCACGCUCCAGGCUCUCGUGUUUCUUCACGAGAUCCUGGAGCUCUUGUUGUACCUCCGCCACCCGCGCCUCCUGUUUCUCUCGCUCGGUGCGCUCCGCAGCCGCAUUGCGUUCGGCCGCGGCCACCGCCUCCUUCAGGGUCGCCACCUCGUUAGUGGCCCCUGCAAUACCCCAGUUUUCCUUGUCAUUUUUCUUGCAACCAAAUCCUUUUCUGUAAGGUACAAUUUUCAUAAGGUAUUACUCACCUUCUUUUUUCUCGAGCUGCUUCUUGGCAUGACCGAGCUCGUUCUCGGACCUCUCGAGGUUUUCCUUCAAAGUUUUGACCUCCACAGUUAGUGCGGCAGAGGUCAGCAGCAUAGCCUGCAAUCCCAUAUUGACAUAUUUUCAUGACUCCUGCGUUUAUCUUUCUAAAGAUCCUCAGUCCGGCUUUUCUUUCCGAACACCGAACAGAGCAUCAGGGGCUACUGUCUAUGCGGUACCAUUUUACAUAUAUUGAAAUUCUUACCUCAAAGCCUGUUAGAAGGCUGCUGCAGGCUUCGGUCAGCCCGCUCUUGGCGAGCUGAACCUUCUGAAUCACCGCACUCAUAACAGUGCGGUGUUCCUCUUCGAUGGAGGCGCCGUUGAGCACCUCCAGCAAAUUAUCCGGCACCUCCGGUUGGACGGAGGCAGCCAGCGUCGCGGUCUUGCCCUUCUUACGAAGGGGUCGCCCGCCGGACUCCGGAGCCACUAUGGGUUCCAGGGCUGAGUCCGGUGCAAAGACCGGGAGGUUGUCCCGCGACACCUCCGGGGCCCUCUCCUCCUGGUGGGUCCCUUCCUGGGAUCCCACCUCGGCAUCGUCCGCAUCACGGGGGGUGGAGGCAGUCGGAAGAGAAUCCAUAUCUGACGCCCCUAAGGACCCGCUCGACGAAGUGGGGAGAUCAUCCUUAGGCGGACUGCAGGGUUGUAUGCGGCAUUAGAAAGACAUAAUGUGGCGGAAAACAAAAACCUUUAAGUUAUUCGGGAGUCCAGAUACUUACGAUCUCGCCAGAAGCUUGGCCCUUGGAGGCCAGUCCUUGUCGUCGUCACUGGCGUUGGCGGAACAGUCCGGGGGAAGAGUUUUUACCCUCUUGGACCCUUCAUCCUCCCUUGUUGGGGAGGCCUUCCUUUUCUUCCCUCCCCCCACUGGGGGAGAGGCUUUCUUCUUCUCCUCCUCGCCUUGGUGGGAGGAGUCGGCCUUGGAUUCAUCGUCCGAUAGCACCUGAAAACGGGAACUCUUCCGAGUCCCCGUGGCCUUCUUCUUGGCCUUCUUCUCCGGCACCAUGUGGGGUGCCGAAGCCAGCAGCCCCGUUAGGCGGGCAUCAGCUGGGUCCUCUGGAAAUGGGGCCGGACAGAUAGCCUAUGCGGCCUUCUUCAGCCAAUCCUGUCAAAGGAAAGGGAGUUUAGAUCCCGCAUAGAGUCAAACUAUGAAUAACAAGCGUCCCGUAAAGGACAAUAUCACUUACCUCGUCAGCUGGAUGCUGCGAGCUGAAUCCGCGAUCUUCGGUAGCGGAUGCGAGAGCCUCGGCGCCCUUGAACAGCACCUUCCAAACCUCUUCGUACGUAGUGUCGAAGAGCCCAUUCAAAGUCUGGUGCUGCGCCGGAUUGAACUCCCACAUAUUGAAGCCCCGUCGUUGGCACGGGAGAAUCUGGCGGAUGAGCAUGACCUGGACUACGUUGACAAGCUUGAGCUUCUUGUCCACCAGCUUUUGGACGCAGGCUUGGAGUCCGGUCAGCUCCUCCGAAUCGCCCCAAAUCCGGCUGCUCUCUUUCCAGGAGGUGAGCCGUGUGGGGUUGCCGGACCUGAAUUCGGGGGCCGCUGCCCAUUCGGGAUCACGCGGCUCGGUGAUGUAGAACCACCCCGAUUGCCACCCCUUGAUGGUUUCCACAAAGGUGCCCUCCAGCCACGUAACAUGGGACAUCCUGCCCACCAUGGCGCCUCCGCACUCCGCUUGGCUGCCCUUCACAACCUUCGGCUUGACACUGAAGGUCUUGAGCCACAAGCCGAAGUGGGGCUGGAUGCAGAGGAAGGCCUCGCACACGACGAUAAACGCCGAGAUCUUGAGAAUAAAAUUUGGGGCCAGAUCAUGGAAAUCUAGGCCGUAGUAGAACAUGAGCCCCCGGACAAAGGGAUGAAGUGGGAAGCCCAGUCCGCGGAGGAAAUGGGGAAGGAAUACUACCCUCUCAUGGGGCCUGGGGGUGGGGAUGAGCUCUCCCUCGUCGGGGAGCCGAUGCGCGAUGUCGCUGGACAAGUAUCCGGUGUUGCGCAGCUUCUGGAUAUGCCCCUCCGUGAUGGAGGAGGCCAUCCACUUGCCUCCCGCUCCGGACAUAUUUGGAGAAGGUUGAGGUAAGAUGUGCGGGCUUGGGCGCUAGAGCUCGAGUUUGCAGAGAUGGAUAAGCCAAGGAGGAAGAAGGCGCAGGUAAAAAGGUUGGAUCUUUAUCCCCUUAUAUGGGCGGACAGAAACACGCGUCCCCACCAGCCUGGUAAAACUCGCUUAUCCCCCAAGCGUCACGAUUGAUGGCGCGGUUGGGUUACCCACAUCCGUAUUGAUGGGAAUCCCGGAAUAAGGGGAACACGAUCUUUGCUUCGACAAGACGUGACAAGGAAACCGCCUCGCUAAACGUGCUGAAGUGGUACAAUAAAAACCUUUCAAAUAAAGGCUUGGUUAUGGUGUGACGUCACGCCAUGGAAUACGUCAGCAGACUGAACUUGUGUGAAUAUUAUUCUCUCUACGGUGGUAUGUGGAAAUUAUUUUGCAGAGCCGGACACUAUCCUGGUGUUCACAAUCUUCUAUAAAUUAUUCGGAGGAGGAACCUGCCUUGCAAUGCCGAAGACAAUAUGCGCGCCGGACUCGUCGUCAUUGAAGCCUGGUUUAAGGGCUACUGAGGGAGUUCCGGACUAGGGGGUGUCCGGAUAGCCGAACUAUCAUCAUCGGCCGGACUCCAAGACUAUGAAGAUACAAGAUUGAAGACUUCGUCCCGUGUCCGGAUGGGACUUUCCUUGGCGUGGAAGGCAAGCUUGGCGAUACGGAUAUGUAGAUCUCCUACCUUUGUAACCGACUCUGUGUAACCCUAGCCCUCUCCGGUGUCUAUAUAAACCAGAUGGCCUUAGUCCAUAGGACGAACAACAAUCAUACCAUAGGCUAGCUUCUAGGGUUUAGCCUCCUUGAUCUCAUGGUAGAUCUACUCUUGUAACCCACAUCAUCAAUAUUAAUCAAGCAGGACGUAGGGUUUUACCUCCAUCAAGAGGGCCCGAACCUGGGUAAAAACAUCGUGUCCCUCGUCUCCUGUUACCAUCCGCCUAGACGCACAGUUCGGGACCCCCUACCCGAGAUCCGCCGGUUUUGACACCGACACCCUCCUACAGGCGGAACCGGAAGUCCUGGACUUGAACUGGGCGGCGGAGGCUCGACUCGACGCGGAGCGCGCGGAUGCCGCUGCCAUCGAGGCCCUCCUGCAGGCGGAACCGGACAUCCUCGACUUGAACCGGGCUGUGCUCUCGUCCGUGCAGAGCGCCCGCAUGCUCCGCUUGAACGAGUAGCUGGAGGCCGAGGACAACCACGGUGCGGAGACACACGUCGGCUGGUUCGCUCCGGCAGCCAAAGACGACGAGGCGUCUCUUUCCACGAGCAGUGAUAGUUUUUCUUUAUGUUGUUGUUUUUAUUAUUAUGGAUCUUUUGCUAUGUAAAAACAUACUAUUUGUUAUGCAAGUCGCCUGAGUCUACCAUUUCAGGCGGUUGGAUGAAUAUCCUAUGUCUCCUAACCCUUCUUUCCUUCUUCCUCACCUCUUCUUCUUCCCCAACAGACCACCGCACGGGCCGUACGGAUACUCCGGUUGGAUAAACAUACUUUAUGAAUGAAAAUUAUGUGUCAGCGAUAGGAUGGCUGAGUUUGGCUUGUUCACAUGCGACAACACGUGUCAGUGAGGGUGCGUUCCCUUGGUUGGGUUUGCGGCGUGCAGGAGUGAAGUGUGAGGGUGCGGUGCGACCGCGGCGUGCAGGAGCGACCGUGUGAGGGUGCGGUGCGACCGCGACAGCCGUGCGCAAGUGUACCUCCUUCUCAUUUUGAAAACUUUAGGCAAGCUUGGCAAAAAUGUGUGGCGAAGUUUGGCAAUGCAAGGCCUAGACCCAAAUAGGAUAAGUAUGUACUACCUCUGUCCGGGUUUAUUGGUCCCCAUUGUAUUUCGUGCCAAAUUUUGACCAUAGAUUAAACUAAGAAAAUGUUCACGCAUGUCACCAAACAUUAUAUUUCUCAAAACAAUGUUCAAAUACGAAUCUGAUGAGAUAAUUUUUCUUGACAUGCAUUAACAUUUUGUUAGUUAAAUCUUUAGUCAAAAUUUGGCACAAACUAUAAAAGGGACCUAUAAACCAGGACGGAGGUAGUACGUACUAGGAGUACUAGUGUUAAAAAAGAAAGGCGGGGUUUUCCUUUGAUAGAAAUCCUCGUUUCACGUGUCAAUUAAUGCGUAUUUUUUCUCGAAAACCCAAAGAGCUAACCAUCUCACUCCUCAUCGCUUGAUUAAUGCAGCGUCAUGCAAACGAACCUUCUCACUUCCGCAUGCAUGCAGGGGAUAUUAAUGUCCUUGGUUGCUAACCCCAUCAAUUUGCCUCGAUUAGUGUUAGUGGCCCUUUGCAGAUUGUAAUUUUGAUAUACUGGCCUUGUGUACAAAAAAAUGGAGGUAGUAACUAUAUUUGAAUUCCUUGCCCAUUACGGUGACGUCGAUGACUUUUGUUUUUGUGGUUUGGUGAAGUGCGUUCGACGGAGAACACCAUUGAGGGAGACCAUGGUAAGUCGUUCGCAAGUGCCGCCUGCAAGCCGAGACAACCACCUUAUUUGCAUCCAGGAAGUCCUUUAAUAGUACUAUUACUAGGAGUACUAGUGCGGUGAGAUGGUUUCUCGGAGAAGACGAUGGAGAAGCGGAGUCAGCGAAUAGUGAAAUGAUAGUUGCUUCGUCCGUGCUUUGUGAUUUGACGCCUCACUACUUUGUGAUUUGUGAUAGAAGGGGCAGGGGAGUAGACUCUAUGAUCUAUACUGUACUACUCCUACAUGCGUCCAAGCAUGGGAGAAAGAGGAGAGACAUUGCAUUUUUCUAUUCCUUCAAUCAAUCAAUCAGGGAGCUUUGGUUCCAUCUUUUUGGUUUUGGCAAUGCCAUCCACAAUGGUUCCCACGAUGCCAAAAGCUAUUUUCACAUUUGGCUACACAUUGUGGAUGCCCUUAACCAUACCACUUGGUUUUGCUCUUGUGUGCUAUCUAUACAAAUCUCAAUUAUAUUGAUCUAAAAAAUUAUAGAAUGAAAGAUUAGUAAAAAGGAGGUGAUUUUGCCGUGCGGAUGGCAGGGGAGGUUUCAUAUUUUCGGAGGAUGUUGUCCUGGCGGUUUGCUAACAUGCGGUCCCACGUGUCAGUGCUUUACCAAGCUGAUCCGCAUCCUACAUGAGGCAGAACAACGGCAGAAGCAACACGUGGUUAAGUUGAAGAAGAUGAGGGAGAAGCGGAUUCAGCAACGAGUGAAAUGAUGGUUGCUUCGUCCCUCCAACUUCUUUUUUUAGCAUUAUUACUUCAUCCCUCCAACUUAACUGCGGGAAAGGUGCAGCUUUGUGAUUUGACGCCUCAUUGCUCAUUACUACGCCGGCGCCAUGACUGGGGUGCUUCACCCCGGCUGCUCUGCACUGUAUUCCGGUAUGGCACGUGGACCCGGUAGCUUGAUGUCCCACAUGUCGGCGAAAGGGACUAGAAGAUUUAUGAAAGCGAGCACUCCACUCUUACGACGGAGGAGUAGACGACACGACGGCCCAGUGAACUAUCACUUUUACUGUGUAGUACUAUAGUUUUGCUAUUUCUCACGAUCCAUCGAUACAAACCCGAUUAAACAGGAAAGGGCGGGAUUUUUCCCGCGCGGUAGAUGAUACUGGCCAUACAUUUCAAAGGCAAUUUUAAUGUAUGCAAAUUGAAUAAUUAUAAGUAACAAUAUGAUAUCUAGUAAAACUAAAAACACAUAUGAUUUAUUGUGUUAGAGUGUAGUAGUAGUGCGGUAUUGCAUAGUUGUUAGAUGUAACAUGCGAGAACGUGUAGAGAUGUAGUUUUGGAGGGCCUACAGAAAGAAAAGUGUAGUACGGUCACCGAACUUCAGAAUAAGCUGAUUACGGUCACUAUAUACGUUUUGCAGUGAUUAUCCGGUCACUUGCUCACAGUUCAGCAUCUGCUUGCACUCUGUUGACCGGCCAAAUAGUCUGCGUGGCGCCAUGUGUAGGGGAACGUUGCAGAAAAUAAAUUUUUUUGCUACGGUUUCACCAAGAUCCAUCUUGAGUUCAUCUAAGCAACGAGUGAAAGGAGAGAGAUGCAUCUACAUACCACUUUGUAGAUCGCGUGCGGAAGCGUUCAAGAGAACGGGGUUGAGGUAGUCGUUCUCGUCGUGAUCCUAUCAUUGGAGAUCCUAGCGCCGAACGGACGGCACCUCCGCGUUCAACAAUCGUACGGUCAGCGUGACGUCUCCUCCGUCUUGAUCCAGCAAGGGGGAAGGAGAGGUUGAUGAAGAUCCAGCAGCACAAUGGCGUGGUGGUGGAUGCAGCAGGACUCUGGCAGGGCUUUGCCAAGCUACUGCGGGAGGAGGAAGAGGUGUAGCAGGGGGAGGGAGGCGCCAAGACACAGGGUGCGGCUGCCCUCCCUCCCCCCUCCUUUAUAUAGGCCCCCAGGGGGGGCGCCGGCCCUGGGAGAUCUAAUCUCCCAAGGGGGGCGGUGGUCAGGGGGGUGGAGUGCCCCCCAAGGCAAGUGGGGUGCGCCCCCCACCUAGGGUUUCCAACCCUAGGCGCAGGGGGGCCCAGGGGGGCGUAGCAGCCCACUAGGGGCUGGUUCCCCUCCCACUUCAGCCCACGGGGCCCUCCGGGAUAGGUGGCCCCACCCGGUGGACCCCCGCGACCCUUCCGGUGGUCCCGGUACAAUACCGGGUGACCCCGAAACUUUCCCGAUGGCCGAAACAGCACUUCCUAUAUAUAAUUCUUUACCUCCGGACCAUUCUGGAACUCGUCUUGACGUCCGGGAUCUCAUCUGGGACUCCGAACAACAUUCAGUUUGCUGCAUACUCAUAUUCAUACAACCCUAGCGUCACCGAACCUUAAGUGUGUAGACCCUACGGGUUCGGGAGGCAUGCAGACAUGACCGAGACGGCUCUCCGGUCAAUAACCAACAGCAGGAUCUAGAUACCCAUGUUGGCUCCCACAUACUCCUCGAUGAUCUCAUCGGAUGAACCAUGAUGUCGAGGAUUCAAGCAACCCCGUAUACUAUUCCCUUUGUCAGACGGUAUGUUACUUGCCCGAGAUUCGAUCGUCGGUAUCCCAAUACCUCGUUCAAUCUCGUUACCGGCAAGUCACUUUACUCGUACCGUAAUGCAUGAUCCCGUGACCAGACACUUGGUCACUUUGAGCUCAUUAUGAUGAUGCACUACCGAGUGGGCCCAGUGAUACCUCUCCAUUAUACGGAGUGACAAAUCCCAGUCUCGAUCCGUGUCAACCCAACAGACACUUUCGGAGAUACCUGUAGUGCACCUUUAUAAUCACCCAGUUACGUUGUGACGUUUGGUACACCCAAAGCACUCCUACAGUAUCCGGGAGUUACACGAUCUCAUGUUCGAAGGAAGAGAUACUUGACAUUGGAAAAGCUCUAGCAAAACGAACUACACGAUCUUGUGCUAUGCUUAGGAUUGGGUCUUGUCCAUCACAUCAUUCUGCCAAUGAUGUGAUCCCGUUAUCAACGACAUCUAAUGUCCAUAGUCAGGAAACCAUGACUAUUUGUUGAUCAACGAGCUAGUCAACUAGAGGCUCACUAGGGACAUGUUGUGGUCUAAGUAUUCACACGUGUAUUACGAUUUCCGGAUAAUACAAUUAUAGCAUGAAUAAAAGACAACUAUCAUGAACAAAGAAAUAUAAUAAUAAUCCUUUUAUUAUUGCCUCUAGGGCAUAUUUCCAACAGUCUCCCACUUGCACUAGAGUCAAUAAUCUAGUUACAUUGUGAUGAAUCAAACACCCAUAGAGUUCUGGUGUUGAUCAUGUUUUGCUCGCGGAAGAGGUUUAGUCAACGGAUCUGCGACAUUCAGAUCCGUACGUACUUUGCAAAUAUCUAUGUCUCCAUCUUGAACAUUUUCACGGAUGGAGUUGAAACGAUGCUUGAUGUGCCUGGUCUUCUUGUGAAACCUGGGCUCCUUGGCAAGGGCAAUAGCUCCAGUGUUGUCACAGAAGAGUUUGAUCGGCCCUGACGCAUUGGGUAUGACUCCUAGGUCGGUGAUGAACUCCUUCACCCAAAUUGCUUCAUGCGCUGCCUCCGAGGCUGCCAUGUACUCCGCUUCACAUGUAGAUCCCGCCACGACGCUCUGCUUGCAGCUGCAUCAGCUUACUGCCCCACCAUUCAACAUAUACACAUAUCCGGUUUGUGACUUAGAGUCUUCCAGAUCUGUGUCAAAGCUAGCCUCGACGUAACCCUUUACGACGAGCUCUUCGUCACCUCCAUAAACGAGAAACAUGUCCUUUGUCCUUUUCAGGUACUUCAGGAUAUUCUUGACUGCUGUCCAGUGUUCCUUGCCGAGAUUACUUUGGUACCUUCCUAUCAAACUUACGGCAAGGUUUACAUCAGGUCUGGUACACAGCAUGGCACACAUAAUAGAUCCUAUGGUUGAGGCAUAGGGGAUGACACUCAUCUCUUAUUUAUCUUUUGCCGUGGUCGGGCAUUGAGCCGAGCUCAAUCUCACACCUUGCAAUACAGGCAAGAACCCUUUCUUGGACUGAUCCAUUUUGAACUUCUUCAAAAUCUUAUCAAGGUAUGUGCUUUGUGAAAGACCUAUGAGGCGUCUCGAUCUAUCCCUAUAGAUUUUGAUGCCUAAUAUGUAAGCAGCUUCUCCAAGGUCCUUCAUUGAAAAACACUUAUUCAAGUAGGCCUUAAUGUUUUCCAAGAAUUCUAUAUCACUUCCCAUCAAAAGUAUGUCAUCUACAUAUAAUAUGAGAAAUGCUACAGACCUCCCACUCACUUUCUUGUAAACGCAGGCUUCUCCAUAAGUCUGCAUAAACCCAAACGCUUUGAUCAUCUCAUCAAAGCGAAUGUUCCAACUCCAAGAUGCUUGCACCAGCCCAUAAAUGAAUCCCUGGAGCUUGCAUACUUUGUUACCAUUCUUCGGAUCGACAAAACCUUUCGGCUGCAUCAUAUACAGCUCUUCCUUAAGAUAACCGUUAAGGAAUGCCAUUUUGAUGUCCAUCUGCCAUAUCUCAUAAUCAUAGUAUGCGGCAAUUGCUAACAUGAUUCAGACGGACUUAAGCUUCGCUACGGGAGAGAAAGUCUCAUUGUAGUCAACCCCUUGAACUUGUCGAUAACCCUUAGCAACAAGUCGAGCUUUAUAGAUGGUGACAUUUCCAUCCGCGUCCGUCUUCUUCUUAAAGAUCCAUUUGUUUUCUAUCGCUCGCCGAUCAUCGGGCAAGUCAGUCAAAGUCCAUACUUUGUUUUCAUACAUGGAUUCUAUCUCGGAUUGCAUGGCUUCUAGCCAUUUGUUGGAAUCUGGGCCCGUCAUCGCUUCUUCAUAGUUCGAAAGUUCACCGUUGUCUAACAACAUGAUUUCCAGGACAGGGUUGCCAUACCACUCUGGUGUGGAACGUGUCCUUGUGGACCUACGAAGUUCAGUAGCAACUUGAUCCGAAGUACCUUGAUCAUCAUCAUUAAUUUCCUCUCCAGUCGGUGUAGGCACCACAGGAACAUUUUCCUGAGCUGCACUACUUUCCGGUUCAAGAGGUAGUACUUCAUCGAGUUCUACUUUCCUCCCACUUACUCCUUUCGAGAGAAACUCCUUUUCCAGAAAGGAUCCGUUCUUGGCAACAAAGAUCUUGCCUUCGGAUCUAAGGUAGAAGGUAUACCCAAUGGUUUCCUUAGGGUAUCCUACGAAGACGCAUUUUUCCGACUUGGGUUCGAGCUUUUCAGGUUGAAGUUUCUUGACAUAAGCAUCGCAUCCCCAAACUUUUAGAAACGACAGCUUAGGUUUCUUCCCAAACCAUAAUUCAUACGGUGUCGUCUCAACGGACUUAGACGGUGCCCUAUUUAAAGUGAAUGUAGCUGUCUCUAGAGCGUAUCCCCAAAAUGAUAGCGGUAAAUCGGUAAGAGACAUCAUAGAUCGCACCAUAUCCAAUAGAGUGCGAUUACAACGUUCAGACACACCGUUAUGUUGAGGUGUUCUAGGCGGCGUGAGUUGUGAAACGAUUCCACAUUUUCUUAAGUGUGUACCAAAUUCGUGACUUAAAUAUUCUCCUCCACAAUCUGAUCGUAAGAAUUUUAUCUUUCGUUCAUGUUGAUUCUCUACCUCAUUCUGAAAUUCCUUGAACUUUUCAAAGGUCUCAGACUUGUGUUUCAUCAAGUAGACAUACCCAUAUCUACUCAAGUCAUCUGUGAGAGUAAGAACAUAACGAUAUCCUCCACGAGCAUCAACGCUCAUUGGACCACACACAUCAGUAUGUAUGAUUUCCAAUAAGUUGGUUGCUCGCUCCAUUGUUCCGGAGAACAGGGUCUUGGUCAUUUUGCCCAUGAGGCAUGGUUCACAUGUGUUAAAUGAUUCAUAAUCGAGAGACUCUAAAAGUCCAUCAACAUGGAGCUUCUUCAUGCGCUUGACACCAAUGUGACCAAGGCGGUAGUGCCACAAGUAUGUGGGACUAUCGUUAUCAACUUUACAUCUUUUGGUAUUCACACUAUGAAUAUGUGUAACAUUACGUUCGAGAUUCAUUAAGAACAAACCAUUGACCAUCGGGGCAUGACCAUAAAACAUAUCUCUCAUAUAAAUAGGACAGCCAUUAUUCUCAGAUUUAAAUGAGUAGCCAUCUCGCAUCAAACGAGAUCCAGAUACAAUGUUCAUGCUCAAACUUGGCACUAAAUAACAAUUAUUGAGGUUUAAAACUAAUCCCGUAGGUAAUUGUAGAGGUAGCGUGCCGACCGCGAUCACAUCGACCUUGGAACCAUUCCCGACGCGCAUCGUCACCUCGUCCUUCACCAGUCUCCGCUUAUUCCGCAGCUCCCGCUGUGAGUUACAAAUAUGAGUAACGACACCAGUAUCAAAUACCCAGGAGUUACUACGAGUACUGGUAAGGUACACAUCAAUUACAUGUAUAUCAAAUAUACCUUUAGUGUUGCCGGCCUUCUUGUCCGCUAAGUAUUUGGGGCAGUUCCGCUUCCAGUGACCCUUCCCUUUGCAAUAAAAGCACUCAGUCUCAGGCUUGGGUCCAUUCUUUGACUUCUUCCCGGCAACUGGCUUACCGGGCGCGGCAACAUCUUUGCCGUCCUUCUUGAAGUUCUUCUUACCCUUGCCCUUCUUGAACUUAGUGGUCUUAUUUACCAUCAACACUUGAUGUUCUUUCUUGAUUUCAACCUCUGCUGACUUCAGCAUUGAAAAUACUUCAGGAAUGGUCUUCACCAUCCCCUGCAUAUUGUAGUUCAACACAAAGCUCUUGUAGCUCGGUGGGAGCGACUGAAGGAUUCUGUCAAUGACCGCCUUAUCUGGGAGGUUGAUCUCCAGCUGUGACAAGCGGUUAUGCAACCCAGACAUUUUGAGUAUGUGCUCACUGACAUAACUGUUUUCCUCCAUCUUACAACUAUAGAACUUGUCAGAGACUUCAUAUCUCUCGACCCGGGCAUGAGCUUGAAAACCAUUUUCAGCUCCUCGAACAUCUCAUAUGCUCCGUGUUGCUCAAAACGCUUUUGGAGCCCCGGUUCUAAGCUGUAAAGCAUGCCGCACUGAACGAGGGAGUAAUCAUCAGCACGUGACUGCCAAGCGUUCAUAACGUCUUGGUUCUCUGGGAUGGGUGCUUCACCUAGCGGUGCUUCUAGGACAUAAUCUUUCUUGGCUGCUAUGAGGAUGAUCCUCAGGUUCCGGACCCAGUCCGAAUAGUUGCUGCCAUCAUCUUUCAGCUUGGUUUUCUCUAGGAACGCGUUGAAGUUCAUGUUGACAUGAGCGUUGGCCAUUUGAUCUACAAGACAUAUUUUGCAAAGACUUUAGACUAAGUUCAUGAUAAUUAAGUUCAUCUAAUCAAAUUAUUUAAUGAACUCCCACUCAGAUUGACAUCCCUCUAGUCAUCUAAGUGUUACACGAUCCGAGUCGACUAGGCCGUGUCCGAUCAUCACGUGAGACGAACUAGUCAUCAUCGGUGAACAUCUCCAUGUUGAUCGUAUCUUCCAUACGACUCAUGUUCGACCUUUCGGUCUCUGUGUUCCGAGGCCAUGUCUGUACAUGCUAGGCUCGUCAAGUUAACCCUAAGUGUUUUGCAUGUGUAAAACUUUCUUACACCCGUUGUAUGUGAACGUAAGGAUCUAUCACACCCGAUCAUCACGGGGUGCUUCGAAACGACGAACUUUAGCAACGGUGCAUAGUUAGGGGGAACACUUUCUUGAAAUUAUUAUAAGGGAUCAUCUUAUUUACUACCGUCGUUCUAAGUAAACAAGAUGCAUAAACAUAAUAAACAUCACAUGCAAUUAUAUAAUAGUGACAUGAUAUGGCCAAUAUCAUAUAGCUCCUUUGAUCUCCAUCUUCGGGGCUCCAUGAUCAUCUUCGUCACCGGCAUGACACCAUGAUCUCCAUCAUCGUGUCUUCAUGAAGUUGUCAUGCCAACGACUACUUCUACUUCUAUGGCUAACGCGUUUAGUAAUAAAGUAAAGUAAUUUACAUGGCGUUCUUCAAUGACACGCAGGUCAUACAAAAAUAAAGACAACUCCUAUGGCUCCUGCCGGUUGUCAUACUCAUCGACAUGCAAGUCGUGAUUCCUAUUACAAGAACAUGAUCUCAUACAUCACAAUAUAUCAUUCAUCAUUCAUCACAACUUCUGGCCAUAUCACAUCACAUGACAAUUGCUGCAAAAACAAGUUAGACGUCCUCUAAUUGUUGUUGCAUUUUUUACGUGGCUGCAAUUGGGUUCUAGCAAGAACGUUUUCUUACCUACGAAUAACCACAACGUGACUUUGUCAACUUCUAUUUACCCUUCAUAAGGACCCUUUUCGUCGAAUCCGCUCCAACUAAAGUGGGAGAGAUAGACACCCGCUAGCCACCUUAUGUAACUAGUGCAUGUCAGUCGGUGGAACCUGUCUCACGUAAGCGUACGUGUAAGGUCGGUCCAGGCCGCUUCAUCCCACAAUACCGCUGAAGCAAAAUAAUACUAGUAGCGGCAAGCAAGUUGACAAGAUCUACGCCCACAACAAAAUUGUGUUCUACUCGUGCUAUAGAGAACUACGCAUAGACCUAGCUCAUGAUGCCACUGUAGGGGAACGUUGCAGAAAAUAAAAAAAUUUCCUACGGUUUCACCAAGAUCCAUCUAUGAGUUCAUCUAAGCAACGAGUGAAAGGAGAGAGAUGCAUCUACAUACCACUUUGUAGAUCGCGUGCGGAAGCGUUCAAGAGAACGGGGUUGAGGUAGUCGUUCUCGUCGUGAUCCUAUCACCGGAGAUCCUAGCACCGAACGGACAGCACCUCCGCGUUCAACACACGUAUGGUCAGCGUGACAUCUCCUCCGUCUUGAUCCAGCAAGGGGGAAGGAGAGGUUGAUGAAGAUCCAGCAGCACAACGGCGUGGUGGUGGAUGCAGCAGGACUCCGGCAGGGCUUCGCCAAGCUACUGCAGGAGGAGGAAGAGGUGUAGCAGGGGGAGGGAGGCGCCAAGACACAGGGUGCGGCUGCCCUCCCUCCCCCCUCCUUUCUAUAGGCCCCCAGGGGGGCACCGGGCCUGGGAGAUCUAAUCUCCCAAGGGGGCGGCGGCCAGGGGGGUGGAGUGCCCCCCAAGGCAAGUGGGGCGCGCCCCCCACCUACGGUUUCCAACCCUAGGCGCAGGGGGUGCCCAGGGGGGGUGCACCAGCCCACUAGGGGCUGGUUACCCUCCCACUUCAGCCCACAGGGCCCUCCGAGAUAGGUGGCCCCACCCGGUGGACCCCCGGGACCCUUUCGGUGGUCCCGGUACAAUACCGGGUGACCCCAAAACUUUCCCGAUGGCCGAAACAGCACUUCCUAUAUAUAAUUCUUUACCUCUGAACCAUUCCGGAACUCCUCGUGACGUCCGGGAUCUCAUCCGGGACUCCGAACAACAUUCGGUUUGCUGCAUACUCAUAUUCAUACAACCCUAGCAUCACCGAACUUUAAGUGUGUAGACCCUACGGGUUCGGGAGACAUGCAGACAUGACCGAGACGGCUCUCCGGUCAAUAACCAACAGCGGGAUCUGGAUACCCAUGUUGGCUCCCACAUACUCCUCGAUGAUCUCAUCGGAUGAACCACGAUGUCGAGGAUUCAAGCAACCCCGUAUAAUAUUCCCUUUGUCAGACGGUAUGUUACUUGCCUGAGAUUCGAUCGUCGGUAUCCCAAUACCUCAGUCAAUCUCGUUAUCGGCAAGUCACUUUACUCGUACCGUAAUGCAUGAUCCCGUGACCAGACACUUGGUCACUUUGAGCUCAUUAUGAUGAUGCACUACCGAGUGGGCCCAGUGAUACCUCUCCGUUAUACGGAGUGACAAAUCCCAGUCUCGAUCCGUGUCAACCCAACAGACACUUUCGGAGAUACCUGUAGUGCACCUUUAUAGUCACCCAGUUACGUUGUGACGUUUCGUACACCCAAAGCACUCCUACGGUAUUCAGGAGUUACACGAUCUCAUGGUCUAAGGAAGAGAUACUUGACAUAGGAAAAGCUCUAGCAAAACGAACUACACGAUCUUGUGCUAUGCUUAGGAUUGGGUCUUGUCCAUCACAUCAUUCUCCCAAUGAUGUGAUCCCGUUAUCAACGACAUCUAAUGUCCAUAGUCAGGAAACCAUGACUAUCUGUUGAUCAACGAGCUAGUCAACUAGAGGCUCACUAGGGACAUGUUGUGGUCUAAGUAUUCACACGUGUAUUACGAUUUCUGGAUAAUACAAUUAUAGCAUGAAUAAAAGACAACUAUCAUGAACAAAGAAAUAUAAUAAUAGUCCUUUUAUUAUUGCCUCUAGGGCAUAUUGCCAACACCAUGUUGACUAGUUAAAUUGACCACGUUCCUUGUGGGUCCCACCUGUCAGUUCGCAUAGGGAAAAGGUCAGAUAAACACAAAUUUACGCAGGCGCGACAAGGCUCCAACCCGUGCGCGGGAAUCACCUGGUUGUGUAUGUGUCUGUCAGGGCCUGAUGUGUGCACAUGCACGUGUAGGUUGAGCACUUGAGCGUGAGAGUGUGUGUUGGUCGUGUGGUGUACUGGUGUGGAUUACGAGUGGAUUGUGAAGUCCAAAGUUGUACGGUGAGCCCAUGACUGUAUAAUAACCACUAAACAUAAAGGGUGACCGUAAUGAGUGGAUUAUGAAGUCCAAUGUAUGUAUCGUGCUUUCACUUCAAAUACAAUGAUCGUCAUUGCAUAUAUCGCGAGAGAAAGAUGAAACACGCGUGAAUUUUCUGGGGGCUUACUUUUAGAGGACAUGGAGAUAGUUUUGUGUGCAUACGUGAAAGGGGCGUACAGGGGGGGUAUGCGAUGGAGAGAGAGAUGCUCUCCAUUUCUCUUUAUUAUGACUAACUUUGUAUAUAGUAUAAAAAUAUACAAAUUCACAGUGUGGAAUAAAUAUCAUUGUGGGCACAAUGCAAUGCAAAUUAGCGUUCGUACUCCUCCAUAUAACUUUGUAAUGUUGUAUAUAUGUAGAAACUCUAAAAUAAUUUUUUGGCCACACUUUAUUCAAAAGGAAUGUUGUAUGCGUAAACAUGAAGAGAGGGCUUUUUAGAUCAAUGGGGUACAUGAUGUAACAUGUGUGAAUGUGUAGUUGAUGCAUUUGGCGGGGCCUAGAGAGGUAUGUGUGUGUAUUACGUAUUCAAGAGAGGCAUGGAUAGAGGGGCCGACGGGGGGGGGGGAUAGCACGAGAAAUGAGGGUGGUCUAGAGAGAGAGAGAGACAAAUAUGACGUCACGACAAGAGAUUCCAUUCCCUUGAGUGUGUAUAUGCAAGGGGGGAGGGAAUAGAGGCACCAGGAGAAUUUUUCUGUGUGUGUGGUGUUUGUGUUGGUAUGUGUGGGUGUGAGAAGAUAAUGAGACGUGGGGGCAGAGGGUGUGUCACCGCGUGAGGUCCGGUGGGUCGAGGUGAGGCCCUUUGUUCAGUUCCGUCCUGCGCCACAUUGGUCGGCCCAUAACACAUUUAGGAAGACCCAUGGAUGACUAGUCGUAUAAGACAAACAUAGCAGAAUUGUGAAGGACUCUGUGUCCACUGAUAAAGUCGGCUAGGAUUUGUAACCCUAGGUUCUCGGACUAAGGUAACCCCUCUAUCUCCGAUAUUACUAUUCAUCUGACCUAACUUUAAGGGGCAUCCUACAGAAUGCUUUGCUAGAAUCAUACUCGUCGAUUAGGAAGAGAGGUGUGAGAUAAUGCGUGAGAGACAGGCGUAAAGAUAAUGUGCGUACAUGAGACACGUAGGCAGGUCCAUGUAUAUAGAAAGGGUCGAUGAGGAUUGUGCGUGUGUAUGUUUGCAAGAGGAAGAGUGCUUGUGAUAAAGGUUAGUGAAAACAGUUGUAAAUGGUUACGAGAGGGAGGGAGGGUUAUAUCUAGAGAAUGUGUGCGAGAAAGACACCUCGGGAGAGAGUGUGUGAGCAUGUGUGAGAGACCACUGAUGGAGAGUGAAACUACACGUAAAAGACUGCUCUACACAUUGAUUAAAGAUAUAAAUUGUAUCCAAAUAUUAGGAUGGGAUCAUGAUAUUUGCAAUUCGCGUAAGAAGCGGUCAUUGAUCCAUCAGGCAUCUAGAUUCUAUCGAAUUUGAGCAUGUCUAUGUUAUUAUUCGACACAAUUGAUCCACAUAGUUAGUAUUUUGAACUCCAGACAAUGCAUCGCUUUAGCAAUCGAAUAUAAACGUGAGUAUAGUUCAUGUUGUGUGUGUAAAGCACAUUAUACAUACGAAAGUUACACAAUGGACAUUUAUAAAUAGGUACCUAUGAACUAGUAUACAUUUGAAUUCAACCUAAGGUGGUUUAAAAAAGUCGAAUUCAACAUGAAGUCCAUUGAAUUAUUUGAAUUUGAUAUCAUGGCAUUUGUAAACCAUACCUAAACUAUGGGGGUACCAAUCUUUGGUCUGAUUUUGUACAUAAUAGCAUAUGUAGUCGUGUACAAAAUAGAUUCAAAUUUAGCUCCUUCAUUCCAAAAUAAUCGUAGUUAUAGGAUUUUCAAGUGUCAAAAUUCAAAAGGAAGCGGAUAAUUUAAUGAGGUUUUCAAACAUACAAGGUCAAAUAUAACGUUGUCUAUUUAGGUCAAUCCUCAUAGUUCAAGAGUACUCUAAACGUGAAUGCUUGUGUUUCAAAAUUUCGAACCAAGCGCCAAAAGAGCCUCUACUCGCCCGAAACCGCGUGAGACCAAUGUUUGGUAGUACAAGGAAAUUACUUUUCUAAUAACUCCGACCUGUGAAACCUACCGGCCCGACGUCCAAAGGUCUAAACCGGGGUAGGUUUGUAGCUUCAUCUAGACGCCACGCAACCGCCUCCGAAAAACAUUCAUACACAAUGGCCGCCUAAGCACACAUGCGCGCGGCCGAAAUCGCUCCCGCCCACUACUUGGGACACCUGGGAUUACCAUCCUACCCCUAACCCGCAGUAGGUCCGAAAUUUAAGAGGGGGGCAAAGUUUGUACUUUCCCCAAAUUUCAAACAAGCGCGUCCCAUCUUCUGUUCAAAAAAGCCAAAAACAAGCGCGUCCAGAACCGAAACAUGGUUCCCCCCCACCCGUCUGAUUCCCCAUUCGUACUCCGUGGGCGCCAAAACUACCUCUCCACCAGCCACGAAACCCCGGCGUCCUCCGUCCGCCACCCCAUCCCACCCAUCAACCGCCGCCCUCCUCCAUCACGCCGGAGCCGAUACCCCAACGUCGUCGUCCACCGCAACCUCAAUCGCAACGCCCUCCACGGCUAGUAGUUGAAGCCGAGGCCGAGCCAUCCGUACCCGAGCCAGUUCAACCACGCCGUCCUGCGCCUCACCGCUGCCGCUCCAACUUCGCCACCCUCCACCGCACCGGAGCUGUUCCUGCUACGUCGUCCUUCGCCGCCUCGGAUCUGCUUCCCCUCCGCUGACAUACAUCCACGGCAACACAGUCAACAAUUUGGCCAUGGGUUCAUCCAAGCCUGCACCCUCCAGAACAUCAGUUUCCCCGGUAAAAACAAGAAGAUCGGCGCGACAUGUGGAGGUGACCACACCGGCAACCGAAGAAGGUACUCCUCUUCCCUUAUUCGUGCAAAUCUUACGUCUCUGCUUGCACGGUAUUCAUCCCACAGAAGACACUAGUUGACCGCUUCUUCUUGAUACUAGAUGUUCCUAGUAACUCGCGAUGCACAAGGUUUCUCCUCGUAUACUAUUUCACCUUAGCUAGAGGUCCGUCGCCCCCCCUAAAUUUCAAUUUCUGGCCAGUUGAUUCCCAAUUAACGGAAGCAUUCCCCGGCGUAACAGGCGCUAGUACGACUAUUACGCCGGGGAAGCAGCGCCUUGGUAUUUAUCUUAGGGGCGUCUGCGGCCUAGAGCUACUGGCGCCUGAUCUGGAGGUCGGCGGGAUUAAAGGGAUGGCUUGGGGUGCUGCCAAGCACGGCGGUGUUGUGAGGUCGAUGGGAGGGCGGGGCGGCGGAUGCACGGGUCUGGGCCGAUGGUUGCUGGUGGUUCAUGAAAGAUCAUCAACAGUGACUGGCGGGAGGUAGACGAAGGCCAUCUGCCCGUUCCUUAUAGAUCGGACGGUUCAUUAAAAAAAUCGACUGACCUAUUUAUUUUCAGUCGACUGCUAUCUUAGAUAUGACCACAUGUGGUGGUGUGCUGGAGGAGUACCUGCAUUUCCUGUGCUCAUAUAUUACAAAAUCAUACGAAGUAGAAUCUAAUUUUGUUUGCCAUGCAAUGUUGUAGAGCUAUCAUAUGUCUCUUGUCAUUUAUUUUUAAGCCACCUGCUAUCUGCUCCUUUACAGUGCACUAGUUCUGCACACACUUCACCCAUACUCUCACUAUUGUGUUUUUAUGCAAGGGUAUUUCAGACUCUCCUGCCGAAAGAGAAGCAACAAAGAAAAGAGAGAAGUCGCUCCAGCUUGGUAUACGGGUAGGCAAGACACGUUACAACGCUAUAAAGGGUGCAGUGUCAGCAGAUGGAGACGAUAAACGUAGCUCUGUAGUUGAUGACCUUGCUCGCAAUGAACCACCAUCCCAGGUGCUUGCUUUAACUUUGCGAUGUCAUAUGUGGUUGCAUGUUGGUGUCUAGCUUGUAUUUGAAAGGCCGAAGUCAGUCUUUAUUAAGAUGAGGAAAGAUAUUUUUUACAUGAACCACCAUCCCGUGAGCACCAGAAGACAAAUAGCUAGUCAGGGCACUGGCCGAGCCAGUGACAAGCCCAGCAAAGACAGGCAUCACCUGGAAGCCAACUAAAAAGCCGCGAUGGUGGCGAAGCAGCCCGCCUCCCACCAGGGUCUCAGGUCCUAGAUGAUCAUGUUCACCACUCCAGCCGGAUGUCUAGCUUGUAUUGCUUCCAAUUUGGUUAAAUUGCAUCUGCUUAGCUUACACAUUAUACCUUUGAAUAUGACAUGCCUUUGUGUUUUUGGUACAUACUAGUACAUUUGUGUAUUAACCAUGUUCUUACAUCAAACUAAUGUUCUUGUGGAUCCCUCAUCAAUCACUUAUGACGAGGCAGGCAAGCAAGGGGGCUACUCCUCAUUUAAAGAAUGCAGCGUCAGCCUCCCGACAUGAUUCUCAAGAAACAGAAAUGCUAGAUGAAGAUAGUGGACGUAGCUCUGUAGUUGAUUACAGCAUUUCCCCUACACUAGCAUUGCAGAUGCUUGCUCUAACUUGGCAGUGUGAUAUGUGGUUGCAUGUUGCAUAUGGUGUCUAGAUUGUAAUUCUUCCAAUCUGGUUAAACUGCAUGUGCUAGUCUGCUUAGCUUAUACUCCUGUAAAUGUGACAUUAUGCCUGUUAAUGUGACAUGCCUUCCUGUAUUUAGUACAUAGUACAUCUAUCUAUUAAGCAUGUCCUUACAUAAAACUAUUGUUUUUUGUAUCCCGCAUCAAUCAAUAUGACGAGACACCUUUAGUAUAUGGAGUGCGAUAUUAGUUGCAUCUUUCAUAUGAUUUAUAGCAUGUGUUGCUUCUAAUUUGUUGAAAUUCCAUUUAUGAUGGGACGCUUUUAACUUGGCAGUCAUAUUGGUUGCAUCUUUCAUGUGGUGUCUAGCUUGCAUUGCUUCUUAUUUGAUGGAAUGGUUUCUGCUUAGUUUACACAAACAGUUGUGAACAUGCCAUGCCGUCCUGUUUUUCGUACAUAUUCCAUCGUGGUAUCAUGUGUUUGCCUUACAUCAAAGUAGUGAUUGUCAGUAUCAUGCAUGAAUGAGUUCUGAAGAGAGAAUUUUAUUGCUUUUUCUUGUCGGUUUUACUUGACAAUUCAAAAUCAAUAAAGCGGAAGGAAGUUAGCAAGGCAGCGGAUAAAGGUGCUCCUUCCAAAUGGAGGGCCUCUACAGUUUCUACUCCUCCACACCCCCGAGAUGAUUUCCAAGACAACACAUGCAUAGACACUCAACAAAGCUGUGUUUAUGAUGAGCAUGUCUCCCCUAGUGCAGCAUCACUGGUGCUCCCUCUAACUUGGCACUGUUAUAUGUGGUUGCAUGUUAUGUGUGAUGUCUAGCUUGUAUUGCUUCUAAUUUUGUUGAAUUCCAUCUGCUUACUUUACACAUUAUACUUGAAUAAGACACGUGUUCCUGUUUCUAGAACAUACACUAUCUGUCUAUCACACCAUGUUCUUACAUCAAAUUACUAUUGUUGUGUAACCUGCAACAAUCACUUAUCAUAAGACACGUUUGACUUCAGAGUGUGAUAUAGGUUACAUCUCACAUUCUUUUCUAGCGUGUACUACUAAUUUGUUGAAAUGGCACUUAUGACGAGACAGUUUAACCUAGUAGAGUGAUAUUAUUUGCAUCUUUCAUAUGGUGUCUAGCUUUCAUUGCUUCUAACUUGUUGAAAUGCUUUCUCCUUAGUUUACACAUCAUAAGCUGUGAAUAUGCAAUGCUGUGAAUAUGCAAUGGCACUAAUGACGAGAGACCUCUAACAUGGUAGUGUGAUGUUGUUUGCAUCUUGCAUAUGAUUUAUUUCUUGUACUGCUUCACAUUUGUUUAAACGCCAUUUAUGUUGAGACACUGUUAACUUGGCAAAGCAAUAUUUGUAGCAUCUUUCAUAUGGUGUCUACCUUCCAUUGCAUUGCUUCUAAUUUGGUGAAAUGUCUUCUUCUUAGUUUACACAUCAUAGUUCUGGUUAUCUCUUCCGUCCUGUUUUUCAUACAUAUUACAUCCUCCUAUCAUGUGGUUGUCUAACAUCAAAGUUUUAUUCGUCUGCAUCAUGCAUCAAUUUGUUCUGAAGAACUAAAUUUUAUUCAUUUUUCUUAUCGGCUUGACUUAACAUGGCACAAAGAAAGAGGAAGAAACAGAGAAUGGUAGGGAAUGAGAAGCGGAUGAAUCAUGCAGAUUCUGCUGGUACUGAUGGUGCAAUAGAAGAUGAAAGUCCAGCGGAAAAUUCUACAAACACGGCAUCCCAUGCUACACGAACUGCAAAAAAAGCCAAACAAAAACAAAUAGCUGCCACCAAACAAGCAGAGACAACCCUAGUUCUUGUAACACCUACCAUAGUACUACCAGCUGCACGACAUACUCGUGCGUCAACUGAGCUAGCAGCAUGUUCCCAAGCUCCCUUGCCACCUGACACUACUUCCCAAGCACUCUUGACACAAGACGAGUUGGCAAUAUCAGAUGAACCUUGUGAGCUUCAACAACAAGAAGGUAGUUGCUGGAGUCAAGUUAUAGUUGCAUGCUUCUUUAUAUGUAGUCUCACAGUUUGAUGUACACUAACACUUCCAAUGUUUGUUGUUGGACUAGCACCUAGGCGCAAGAGGAAACAAACAUCAGGGAUAAUGCUCGAUAGGUUAACUAAAUCUAGAGGAGGAAGAAUGGAGAUCCAUUUUGAGGCAAGUUUAAAAAGGCCACGUGAUGCUACAAAGUCAGCCAAGUUAGUAUCAGAGGCAGCGUUUGCCGUUAGGUGUCAUGUACGUAUCCUCCCAACAUGGAUUCAGUACAGGAAUGACAAAGACGAAACCCAGUUCAACACCUUCCUCGACCAUUUAUCUGUAAGUAUGGUUAUGUAUGGAAACUAGUAAUAUCGUUUUGCUCUGUCCCAUACUUUCUAGGUUGCUGAUAAUGAGACUCCCAUAAUUUUCAACAGAUGAGGUUCAAGUUGGAUAGCCAAGAUGAUGCAACCAGACAAGCUUGCACUCAUGUUUUCAAGUCUGCUCUGCGACAGUAUCGGUAUAACUUGAGGAAAACUCACUUUGAAGGCAAGGCUAACAGUGAACUUUCCCAAACAUCUCCAGUGGAAAAUAUAUCGGAUGAAGACUGGAGGAGCCUUGUUAAACACUGGUCUGAUCCGAAGUAUUAGGUACAUUAUAUAUAUGUGAUCAGAUCACAUGUUGAAGUCCUAUUGACGCAUGUGCCACACAAAUCUAUCUUCUUGUAGGUGAACUGUUCAAAGAACAAGGCCAACUGUACGAAAGUGAAAUUCCAACAGACGACAGGAUCUCAUAGCUACAUUGCACACUGCGAGGCUCUUGUAAUUAGCUGCUGUUUCACUCUUUUCGCUGUACCAUAUUAUCAGAUCUAUAUUGACUUGUUCGAAAUGCAGAGGAAAGCCCGCAAGGACCAAAAAGUACCUGAACCAAAUGCUGUGGAAAUCUUCAAGGACUAUCACACCCGCAAGAAGAAGGGCAUGACUACACCAGUCAAAGCCGCUGUUGUAAGUCCUUAAUCCUCAUGCCUUUUAACUACUACUUACUCUGACUUGUGCCUUGAACUGCAUGGUUUGCAGCCAAUGUCUAUUACUCUUUUCAAUUUUAUACACAAUUGUCUUAGCGUAUCAUAGCACCUUACAAGGUUUAAAAGGGAGGAGUGAUGUUCCUUUGAUCUUGACCCGUAAUCUAGUUCCGUGCUGGACUUGCCCACACAACGUUACAAUUGCCUGUUUGUCUGUUCUCAGUUGUUUUGUGAUAUGAAUGAUGUCAUACUAUGCUUACCGUAUUAUAAACUUCGUCUCUUUAUUCUUAGCCCUCAAUACAAUGUGAAGAAAUAGACAAUACAUUAGCGAUGGUACAUGAUCAUAUGUUUGGAACCUGGUUUUAUUAUGUACUUUGCAAUAAAAUACAACUAAUAUUUUCCAUGGGUUCACCAGAAUAAGUUCUGUAUAUACAACAACAACAACAACAACAACAAAGCCUUUAGUCCCAAACAAGUUGGGGUAGGCUAGAGGUGAAACCCAUAAGAUCUCGCAACCAACUCAUGGCUCUGGCACAUGGAUAGCAAGCUUCCACGCACCCCUGUCCAUAGCUAGCUCUUUGUCGAUACUCCAAUCCUUCAGGUCUCUCUUAACGGACUCCUCCCAUGUCAAAAUAGGUCGACCCCACCCUCUCUUGACAUUCUCCGCACGCUUUAGCCGUCCGCUAUGCACUGGAGCUUCUGGAGGCCUGCGCUGAAUAUGCCCAAACCAUCUCAAACGAUGUUGGACAAGCUUCUCCUCAAUUGGUGCUACCCCAACUCUAUCUCGUAUAUCAUCAUUCCGGACUCGAUCCUUCCUCGUGUGGCCACACAUCCAUCUCAACAUAUGCAUCUCCGCCACACCUAACUGUUGAACAUGUCGCCUUUUAGUCGGCCAACACUCCGCGCCAUACAACAUUGCGGGUCGAACCGCCGUCCUAUAGAACUUGCCUUUUAGCUUUUGUGGCACUCUCUUGUCACAGAGAAUGCCAGAAGCUUGGCGCCACUUCAUCCAUCCGGCUUUGAUUCGAUGGUUCACAUCUUCAUCAAUACCCCCAUCCUCCUGCAACAUUGACCCCAAAUACCGAAAGGUGUCCUUCCGAGGUACCACCUGGCCAUCAAGGCUAACCUCCUCCUCCUCACAGCUAGUAGUACUGAAACCGCACAUCAUGUACUCGGUUUUAGUUCUACUAAGCCUAAACCCUUUCGAUUCCAAGGUUUGUCUCCAUAACUCUAACUUCCUAUUUACCCCUGUCCGACUAUCGUCAACUAGCACCACAUCAUCCGCAAAGAGCAUACACCAUGGGAUAUCUCCUUGUAUACCCCUUGUGACCUCAUCCAUCACCAAUGCAAAAAGAUAAGGGCUCAAAGCUGACCCCUGAUGCAGUCCUAUCUUAAUCGGGAAGUCAUCGGUGUCGACAUCACUUGUUCGAACACUUGUCACAACAUUAUUGUACAUGUCCUUGAUGAGGGUAAUGUACUUUGCUGGGACUUUGUGUUUCUCCAAGGCCCACCACAUGACAUUCCGCGGUAUCUUAUCAUAGGCCUUCUCCAAGUCAAUGAACACCAUAUGCAAGUCCUUCUUAUGCUCCCUAUAUCUCUCCAUAAGUUGUCGUACCAAGAAAAUGGCUUCCAUGGUCGACCUCCCAGGCAUGAAACCAAACUAAUUUUUGGUCACGCUUGUCAUUCUUCUUAAGCGGUGCUCAAUGACUCUCUCCCAUAGCUUCAUUGUAUGGCUCAUCAGCUUAAUUCCACGGUAAUUACUACAACUCUGAACAUCCUCCUUGUUCUUGAAGAUUGGUACUAAUAUACUCCGUCUCCAUUCUUCUGGCAUCUUGUUUGCCCGAAAAAUGAGGUUGAAAAGCUUGGUUAGCCAUACUAUCGCUAUGUCCCCGAGACCUUUCCACACCUCAAUGGGGAUACAAUCAGGGCCCAUCGCCUUGCCUCCUUUCAUCCUUUUUAAAGCCUCCUUCACCUCAGACUCCUGGAUGCGCCGCACAAAACGCAUGCUGGUCUCAUCAAAGGAGUCAUUCAGUUCAAUGGUAGAACUCUCAUUCUCCCCAUUGAACAGCUUGUCGAAGUACUCCCGCCAUCUAUGCUUAAUCUCUUCGUCCUUCACCAAGAGUUGGCCUGCUCCGUCCUUGAUGCAUUUGACUUGGCCAAUAUCCCUCGUCUUCCUCUCCUGGAUCUUAGCCAUCUUAUAGAUGUCCCUUUCACCUUCCUUCGUGCCUAACCGUUGGUAGAGGUCCUCAUAUGCCCGACCCCUUGCUUCACCAACAGCUCGCUUUGCGGCCUUCUUCGCCAUCUUGUACUUCUCUAUGUUGUCUGCACUCCUAUCCAGGUAUAGGCGUCUGAAGCAAUCUUUCUUCUCUUUAAGCGCCUUCUGGACAUCAUCAUUCCACCACCAGGUAUCCUUAUCUUCGCUUCUCCUUCCCCUGGACAGUCCAAACUCCUCCGAGGCCACCUUACGAAUGCAAGUCGCCAUCUUCAUCACACAUUGUCCGCAUCCCUUCCUUCCUCCCAAGGGCCCUCCUUAAAUACCCUCUCCUUGAACACCUGAGCUACCUCCCCCUUGAGCUUCCACCACUUCGUUCUAGCGACCUUGGCACGCUUAUCCCGCUGGACACGAAUCCGAAAGCGGAAGUCAGCAACCACCAGCUUAUGCUGGGGUACAACACUCUCCCCAGGUAUCACCUUACAGUCUAGGCACACACGCCUAUCUUCUCUUCUCGAGAGGAUGAAAUCAAUCUGGCUAGAGUGUUGGCCACUACUAAAAGUCACCAGAUGUGAUUCUCUCUUUCUAAAGAGGGUGUUAGCUACAAUCAUGUUGUAGGCUAGAGCAAAGCUUAAGACAUCUUCUCCUUCUUGAUUCCUGAUGCCAUAGCCAAAGCCCCCAUGCGCCCCUUCAAAACCUGUGUUAGAUGUACCCACGUGGCCAUUGAGGUCUCCUCCUAUGAAGAGCUUCUCACCAAUCGGUACACUCCUAACCAUGUCUUCCAAGCCUUCUCAGAACUCCCUCUUGGUGUUCUCAUUGUGGCCAAAGCUAUUUUGUUUGGUUUUGCUGCCUCCUUAAUAUCUUCUGUUCUGGUACUACUAAUGUAAAACCUCAACUUUUCAGUGAGCUAUGGAAAAAAUGGUGGAACCGCCACCUUCUGAAGGUGGCGAGGCAACUAUAACCGCAAUGUCAGCUCUUGCUGCAGUGGGUCAGUACCUGUCCACUAACAGUGCCAAAAGCACGUUCCUGCGUAAUAUUGGGUUGGUUGUUAAGGCAAUAUCAUCCAAACUGCCUCAUGAUCAAGAUAUGCAAGCUCAAAGCAAUGUUGUAUCUGCGCUCCAGACACAAGUCCAUUCCCUAAUAGAGGCCCUUUGUGAAACAAGGAGAAACAUUGCUCAAUGUCGUCAAGAUAUGCAUGGUUUUGAAACCAGACUAUCAGACAUUUGCUAUGUUGUUCAGGAGCCUAGGGGAAAUGAAGGCAAGGGUUAUGGUGUUCCAUCGGACAAUACAGCAUGAAAACGUAACAGUCAGGUCAAAUGAACCGAGCUUCUGAACUUCUGGUGGUGCAUUUAUCUGCUAGACUUUUAAGUUUUAUGCCAACCUUCCUUUUGUUAUAUAGUUGUAAUUUGUUUUGGUGCGAUACAAAAUUUAUUCUUAACGAGCAGCCACCGGCUGAAGAAAACAGCAAGCCAUUUUUGUAUAGUGUAGGGUGUUCCCUAUAUUUGCACUGGUGGCGAUCUUUGAUGCCGAGUGGAUGUAAUCUGUGCAAUCGCCUUAAUAGCCUAGCGUUAGUUUGGGCCUUAUUUAUUUCCUAGUCUUCUUUUUCCCUGGUUUGCUAGUGGCUGCAACUACCCAUGGGUCAUAUAUGGGCCGUAGGAUCCAUGGGUCUCCUACGGGCAGUCAAUAAAUGGGCUUGUAAUCGGUGGGCCUCGGGCCCUCGAUAAAUGGGCCUAGGGCCGUCGGAUAAAUGGGUCUACAUGGGCCGUAAUCGGGCGUAAUUGGUAUCGGCCCAACACGGUAACGGGCCGUUAACAGGCCGUAGGACUGCAAAAGCUUAAUUCUGUCACAGGCAUAACUGGUCGUUAAUGGGCCAGAAUAUAGGACGAGCUCGCCAGAAACGGGCCGACUCUUGCCAUGGGCCGAAUUUGGCCCAUUAGGGUAACAGGCCAGUAACGGGCCGACUCUUGCCAUGGGCCGAAUUUGGCCCAUUUGGGGAACAUGCCAGUAACGGGACGACUCUUGCCAUGUGCCGAAUUUGGCACAUUAGGGGAACAUGCCAGUAACGGGUCGGAAGUAAUCAAGGGCCGAAAAGGAGCCCAAGAAUGUAUGGGCCGUCAAUAGGCCGAAAGCUAACACAGGCUGGAAACGGCCCAUGUAAAUCACAGGCCGUUAACGGGUACAAAGAAAAUUACUGUUCAUUAUGGGCUAGAGUCACCGUGGGCCUGUAAACGGCCGAAAGAUACGAAGGCCUCAUAUGGGCCGAAAGACGUCGUGGGCCAUACAUGGGCCGAAAGUGAAAUGGGCUGGUGUUAUAUUCGACGGGCCACAUGACGUUGUUGGGCCGAUUUCCUUUAGUGCCUAACGGGCCGUAAAAUGGGCUAUUUGCGAAGAGACCGUUAACAGGCUCUUCAUGGGCCAGCCCGUUAACUUUUGACCAAGUCAAACGGGCCGGCUUUGUAAGCUAAAUGGGCUAGUGGUGGGUCGUGGCACGUGUCAACAUAUCAUAGGCUCCUAUCUGACCCACUGAGGAGCUGACACGUGUUUCGUCCGGCCAAUAAGAAUUUUACACGUGGAAAUUUCCCAUUGGUCGGGGCUGUUAAGGGGUUAUCGGAUCCAAAACCCGACCCGAUAGCUUAACGGCGUUCUGUUACGGUGGAUGCCACGUGUCGGUCACCCUUGACGAAAGCACUUCUGUGACGCACGAUUUAUCGUCAUGGAAGUGGACACUUCCGUGAUGAUAAUUUUGGUAACGUCAUGGAACACUUCUACGACAACACAGGUAUGACUAUCUUGAUUCUGUCAUAAAUUUGUCAUGGAUGUACAUGCAUGACAAAAAACGCGACCUACUAUGACAAACACGUAUCAUCACGAAAGUGUAUUUUUUUUGUAGUGAUAUGACCAACACCCAUUCUUCUUAUGGCUUUGGGAGGAAUUUCAUCACCUACAUCACAAGUACCACUUUGCUCCACUUGGGAGCCGUUAUUCUCGUCAAACACUAUGUUACACGUCUCCUCAAUGAGUCCGGUGGACUUGUUGAGGACACGGUAAGCAUGCGAGUUUGUAGCAUAACCAACAAAUAUGCCCUCAUAAGCUCUAGCCUCAAAUUUAGACAGGCGAACACCUUUCUUGAGAAUGAAACACUUACACCUGAACACCCAGAAGUACUUGAGGUUGGGCUUGUUACCGGUAAGUAUUUCGUAUGGAGUCUUGUUCAAGCCUUUGCGGAGAUAGAGCCGAUUGGAUGCAUGACAUGCUGUGUUGAUGGCUUCGGCCCAAAACUUGUAUGGAGACUUGAACUCUGCCAUCAUGGUCCUUGCCGCAUCCAUCAACGUCCGGUUCUUCCUCUCCGCGACACCAUUUUGUUGAGGGGUAUAUGGUGCAGCAUAUUGAUGCUUGAUCCCCUCAUCACUAAGAAACUCAUCCAAGGUAUAGUUCUUGAACUUGGUGCCGUUGUCACUUCUUAUUGUCAAGAUCUUUGCAUCAUGUUGACAUUGAGCUUCAUUUGCAAAGUCGAUGACAGUUUGUUGAGUCUCACUCUUCCUCUUGAAGAAGUAUACCCAAGUGUAUCUUGAAUAAUCAUCCACAAUCACCAAGCAAUACUUUCUACCUCCAAGACUAUCAAAGGAUGGAGGCCCAAAGAGAUCCAUGUGAAGGAGCUCCAAGGGUCUCUUCGAGUAGAUGAUAGUCGUGGGAGGGUGAGUGUCGGUGUCAAAACCGGCGGAUCUCGGGUAGGUGGUCCCGAACUGUGCGUCUAGGCGGAUGGUAACAGGAGACAAGGGACACGAUGUUUUACCCAGGUUCGGGCCCUCUUAAUGGAGGUAAAACCCUACGUCCUGCUUGAUUAAUAUUGAUGAUGUGUGUUACAAGAGUGGAUCUACCACGAGAUCAAGGAGGCUAAACCCUAGAAGCUAGCCUAUGGUAUGAUUGUUGUUCGUCCUAUGGACUAAAGCCAUCCGGUUUAUAUAGACACCGGAGAGGGCUAGGGUUACACAAAGUCGGUUACAAUGGUAGGAGAUCUACAUAUCCGUAUCGCCAAGCUUGCCUUCCACGCCAAGGAAAGUCCCAUCCGGACACGGGACGAAGUCUUCAAUCUUGUAUCUUCAUAGUCUUGGAGUCCGGCCGAUGAUGAUAGUCCGGCUAUCCGGACACCCCCUAGUCCGGGACUCCCUCAGUAGCCCCCGAACCUGGCUUCAGCGACGACGAGUCCGACGCGUAUAUUGUCUUCGGCGUUGCAAGGCGGGUUCUCCUUCAAACUUCAUGUUCCUGUCGAAUAGUGUCCGGCUUCCUUAUAAAUGUUGCGCUCCUUGGCUUCUACGCCCAAUAAUGGCCUUCUUCCACGUGUCGUAUGAAUGCGAAAAGCUAGGAUAUUUUUACAUUUUACCCCCUAGCUGCGUGAACGAGCCGCCUAUAAGAGAGGCGAGGAUCUAGAUCCAGCUCACACCAUCCUCCAUUCGCAAGUUCUCACCGAAGCGCUUCUGACAAAAAUCCAUUCCAUCAUGGAUAGUCGACGCGGCUCCUCCUCUCGCGCUCCCAGCCCUAAGCUAGGAGAUUGGGGAGAUGCUCAGUUCCACACAGCGAGCUAGUGGCGCUCCAAACCGAGGGAUAUCUUCCCCCAGCUUUCAUGGUCCCGGUUCGAGCCGGACUGGCCACCUUCAAGGGUGGAAAGCAGGCGGAGAGCGUCCCCAACCCUUCCAAAGGAGAGUGGGUAUGCUUCGUCCCUUAUCUAAUAAGGGGCUCGGAUUCCCCAUACAUCCGUUUCUCCGGGGGCUCCUGGAGUUCUAUGGACUCCAGCUUCACCACCUCACACCUGCCUCCAUUUUACACAUCGCGGGCUUUGUAGCUCUUUGCGAGCUGUUCCUGGGCAUCGAGCCCCAUUUUGCGCUGUGGAAGAGAUUGUUCUGCCUUGUACCCCGUUCUUAUGAGGGGUCGAUAUAUCAAGUGGGCGGAGCCGAAAUAUGGCGCAUCGCCGGGACCGGAUAUCUAUCCGGCACCCCGAAGAAGGCAUCCGAAGACUGGCCUUCGGAAUGGUUCUACAUGGAGGACGCCCCUCUGCCGGAUCCAGUUCGGAUCGGCCUCCCGGAGUUCAGUAAUGCUCCCUUGAAGAAACGCCUGAGUUGGCGCCCGCGGAGCCCUCAACGGGAGCAUGAUAGGGGCGUCCAUUAUCUGAUGGGCCGGAUUAGGUUACUGGCCCACUCCGGAUUGACCAUGAUUGGAAUCAUGGCCACGUGCAUUAUGCGAGGGGUGCAGCCACUCCAAUAUAGGGGCCACCCUAUGUGGGAUUUCAACGGGGAAGAUGACGCCACCCGUCACGGCCGCAGAGGGCCGAGCUCGGCAGCCGAUCUGGCAAAGAUCCUGUCGGUCUUGUACAAGGGGGAGGAGGAGGACUUUCUCCGCACGAAUCCAUUGAACGGAUUCUCCAUGAAUAACCCUUAGAGCUGGGUAAGCGGACGUUUAUCUACCCGAUCCAUACUUCCAAAGUCAAGUAUUUUACUUUGUGAUUUCGACGCAGGAGCUGCGCCGGGAUGUGGAGGGCAUACAAAGCCUAACUCCACAGCCCGAGGAUCCGGAACGAUCCCUUGAUCCGACCUCCGAAGAGGAUCCGGACAUAAAGGUGGAGCUGAUUGACGGGGUGUUCCACCACCUUAGCAUGGACAAUGCUCUAGUCGCCAUUACGGCUGACUACCCCGGUUUGAUUCCGGCCUCCCAGGUGACUACGACCGAGGUCUUGACACCAUCAUUUGAUCCGUGCUCAAUUCUGGCCAUCCUAUACUGAUGGUGCAUCACAGGAGGUGCCUUUAAGGCGGGAAGCCAAACCUGCGGCGGCUGACCAGCAAGGGUCAGUUCGGCCCAGCAGGCGGAAGAGGAGUGCGACGCAGGUCGAAACGUCGCCGCAACGGUACGGCGCAUCGUUGUUUUUAAGGGAAGGAUCCCUAUGAAGUAUAUUAACGCUCAUAACUCUUUCCAGGAGAAAGAGCGCUCGCCGGACAGUGUUCGGAGAGGUUGCCAAUCAAGCCUCCGCCAGCCAUGCUCCAUCGCGUGGUCCGGAAGUGGAGGCGAACACAAGGCAAGAGCUGGAUGCUCCCCCGACGGAGGAUGCCGACAUGCUGUCCGCCACCCAAUCUGAGGUGGAGAGCGCCAUGAAUCACACGCGUCGCCGGACAGUUCUUCGUGACGCGUGUUUCUCCCCGGAGGCGUUGAAUGCCUUUGAUGCGGGAAACGCGCACCUCCGUGCUGCUCAAGAUGGUUUAACCAGAGCCACGGAGCAGUAUGUGAAGGACAUACGGGUAAGUAAUUUUAAUAGUUAUAUAUGCUAGUAGCCCCCGAGACUUAAAAUAGUUAAAAUAACUGAUUUUAGGAUCACUUAUUAUGCAGGAUCUUACGGAGAAGAAUACCCACCUGUCCCAGGAGCUCCAAGAGUGCAAGGCCCAACUUGAGGCCGCACUAGCCACCAUAGGGGGAGCCACAGAGACCCCCGCUGGUAAUACGUACUUCGAAAAGAUAAGUAGUUAACAAAGUGCGGCGUGUGCAUAAAUCUGACAAUAAUAUUGCAGAGGGCGCCGGACUAGAUCCGGACAAGCAACAACUACUGCGUCAGCUAAAGGCCGGCGAGAGGGUGCUUAUGAAGGUGCAGCAGGAGAGAAACAAGCUCCAAGAUGCCCACACCCAACUAGGAGAAGAGCUGAAAGGUGUUUGGGCCCAACUGUCUGGCUCCGUGAAGGAGAAUCAACGGCUUCGUCGCGGCAUUUAUAGUAAGUGCUUGAGCAAAUUCCUUUGAAAAGAAGAAUUCGGCGAGGAAGCCGAUUGCCAGAAAUGUGUCUUUAGGUGUGCUCACAGGUCGCCCUGCGGAGGAAAUGCCUAGUUCAACGGGUGACCAACUUCCCGAGCUGGUUCAACUGCUUGAACGUGUUCGGCAGGCGAUGAGUGGCGUCGUUCAGGCUUUAUGGCCUUCCGUCUCCCUACCCGAGGGCCUUGGAGAGCUUGCUGAGAAGCUUCAUGGAGCACGGCGACGCCUCCGUCCGUGGAAAAUAUCGGCAUGCCGUCAAGGCGCCAGGGAGGCCUGGGCCAUGGUGAAGACGCGGUACCCGAAGGCUGACCCAAACCACAUGGACAAGGUCGGACCUGCGGGGCCUGAUGGGAAGGAGAUCCCUGUGAGCUUGAUGUACGGCCAAGUAGAGCUGGCCGCGAAAUAUUCCCAAUAGGACUGUAAAUUAGAUAGCCUGUUAGAUGGGAUUGAAGAGGAGUACAAUCAGUCAGUUUGACGAUGUAAUUUGAAAUGACAUGUAAAAUGCCUUCUAGCCGGAUUGUAGAUCGUUUGUCUUUGCGGACCUUUUCGCUUCAACCUCCGGACCCAACAGUCCGGAGUGUGUCCGAAUACCCUUACGGUUAUAGAAGAACCGGGGCAUGCAUGGAGACAAGGCGUCGGGGUCAUAAUUGCUUUAUCAGACAAGUGCCCAACUAGCUAUGUUAUAUUACAUGGUUAGUAAGAAACAUCUUCCAGGGAGAAUAGUUCCGUUAAGGGUUCCUUUCCCUGGGAGGCAUGCCCUAAAGUGCAUGUCCGGACUGCGAAAAUAGCAGAAAAAGCAUCUGGGGGCAAAUAAAUAAGUAAGUAAUAAAUCAUCUUUCAAGUCACCGACCGAAUAUUCUCUUAAGAACGCUAGCUUUCGGCUUCACCCAGUCUGAGGUACACAUCCGGCUGACCCGGCAGUAACAAUCGCAGAGGUGCUCCCUUUACCUCCUAGCCGAACAAUCGGGAACGUAGGGUUAAGCACAGGAGCCAGGCAACCCAGCUUGGCCAAAACUUAAGUCAUAUUGAUGCAUAUAAUGGUGAAUAAAAGGUACAUGCGGAAGUAUGACACAUGUGUUGGGCAUGAAGCCCGUAUAAAUAAGCUUCUGUUAAAGAAGCCCCCAGGUAUAACGAGUGCUAGGAGCACAUCGAGUGUGUGCGAACAAUGCGCAAAUCAGCCUAUCAAAGGUAUUGAAAAAAAAGUGGGAAGAAGGAGGGGGACAAGAGAUAGUGAAAAUGUAAAAAGGUGGACGGAGGGGUGAGACGAACUCUGAGUCCGGCGUUAGGCGUAGAAUCUUCGGAGACGGGCUGCGUUCCAUGGGUUCGGCUCGAGUCUGUUGUCAGAUGCAUUACGUAGACGGUAUGCUCCGCCGGUCAGGACUUGGUCGAUGAUGAAGGGACCUUCCCACUUGGGCUUAAGUUUGUCCUUUUUCUUGUCCGGCAGGCGUAGAACAAGUUCGCCAACAUUGUAAGCUUUGGCCCGUACUUCUCUGUUUUGAUAUCUUCGAGCCUGCUGUUGAUAAAAUGCGGAACGAGCUUUUGCCACGUCCCGCUCCUCCUCUAAGGCGUCCAAACUGUCCUGCCGAUCCAGCUCGGCUUCUCUUUCUUCGUACAUGCGCACGCGAGGUGAGUCAUGAAUUAUAUCGCAGGGCAGAACUGCCUCUGCGCCGUACACCAUAAAAAAUGGUGUGAAUCCGGUAGUUCGGUUUGGCGUGGUCCGCAGCCCCCAGAGUACGGAGUCGAGCUCUUCUACCCAGUGCGUGUUAGAUUCCUUGAGGGACCGCACUAGUCUGGGUUUGAUGCCGCUCAUGAUUAGACCAUUUGCUCGCUCGACUUGACCGUUAGUUUGAGGGUGAUAGACUGAAGCGUAGUCGAGCUUGAUGCCCAUGUUUUUGCACCAGAGUUUAACCUCGUCGGCCGUGAAAUUCAUGCCGUUAUCAGUGAUGAUGCUGUUGGGGACGCCAAAACGGUGUACUACCCCGGAUAUGAAGUCUAUCACAGGUCCGGAUUCUGCCAUUUUAACCGGCUUGGCUUCAAUCCAUUUGGUGAAUUUGUCCACCAUGACCAAUAAGUAUUUGUGCUUGUGGGUUCCCCCUUUAAGGGGUCCAACCAUGUCAAGCCCCCCGACCGUGAACGGCCAGGUGAUGGGUAUAGUUUUGAGGGCGGUGGGUGGCAUGUGGCUCUGAUUAGCAAAGAGCUGGCAACCGACGCAUCGUUGGACUAAGUCCUGAGCAUCUGCCCGGGCUGUUGGCCAAUAAAAUCCUGUACGGAAGGCCUUGCCUACAAGGGCCCGGGCUGCGGCGUGGUGCCCGCCGAGUCCGGCGUGAAUUUCAGCCACGAGAUUUCGCCCCUCCUCUUCGGAGAUACACCUUUGAAGGACUCCGGUUGCGCUUUUCUUAUAAAGUUCUCCCUCAUGGACCUUGUAGGCUUUAGAUCGCCGAACUAUGCAGCGGGCCUCGUUUUGGUCUUCGAGAAGUUCCUGCCUAAUUAAGUAGGCUAGGAAUGGUUCCGUCGACGGGGCAAUUACUGCCAUUAUUUCGUGGGCUGAAGGUGAUAUUUCAUUGGCUGAGCCGCCGAUUGUGUUAGAAUUGUCUGAGUUAGGUGAUGCAGCUGGCUCCGGAUUGUUAUUUCCGGACUCCUCUUCCCAUAGUACGGAUGGCUUAAAGAGUCGUUCCAGGAAGAUGUUUGGAGGGACGGCGUCACGUUUUGCGCCGAUGCGUGCUAACACGUCUGCUGCCUGGUUAUUGUCCCGGGCUACAUGAUGGAAUUUGAGUCCUUCGAACCGAGCUGACAUUUUUAGGACGGCGUUGCGGUAAGCUGCCAUUUUUGGAUCUUUGGCGUCAUGGGAUAUUGCGAGGUUUGAAUCCCCACGCACCUCUAGGCGUUGAAUGCCCAUGGAGAUUGCCAUCCGGAGGCCGUGUAGAAGGGCCUCGUAUUCGGCUGCGUUGUUGGAGUCCAUGUACAUUAUUUGAAGUAUGUAUUGGACUGUGUCUCCAGUUGGGGACGUCAAGACGACGCCAGCCCCCAAGCCAGCCAACAUUUUGGAUCCGUCGAAAUGCAUGAUCCAAUUGGAGUACGCGCCGUACUCUUUAGGGAGUUCGGCUUCGGUCCAUUCGGCGACGAAGUCAGCCAGGACUUGCGACUUUAUAGCUCGUCGUGGUUUGUAGGUUAUGUCAAAUGGUAAGAGCUCAAUGGCCCAUUUUGCAAUCCUGCCCGUUGCGUCGCGAUUGUUUAUAAUAUCAUUGAGAGGUACUUCGGAGGCCACCGUUAUGGAACACUCUUGAAAGUAGUGUCGCAGCUUCCGGGAUGCCAUGAACACCGCAUACGCUAUCUUUUGAUAAUGUGGGUACCGGGACUUGCAUGGCGUUAAGACAGUGGAUACGUAGUACACUGGUUUUUGAAGAGGGAAUCUGUGCCCUUCUGUUUCUCGUUCGACGACGAGUACCGCGCUGACAACUUGAUGUGUUGCUGCGAUAUAUAAUAGCAUAGGUUCGCCCAGGUUGGGCGCGGCCAGGACCGGAUUUGUUGCCAGUAUGGCCUUGAUUUCUUCGAGUCCGGUCGUGGCGGCAUCCGUCCAUUCGAAUGUUCGGUGCGCCGGAGGAGGCGAUAGAGGGGUAGAGCCUUUUCUCCCAAACGGGAGAUGAAGCGGCUUAGAGCCGCUAUGCACCCAGUUAGUUUUUGUAUUUGCUUGAGGUCUUUUGGGAUAUCCAAUUGUGACAGAGCUCGGAUCUUGGCUGGGUUUGCUUCGAUUCCUCUACCGGAUAGGAUGAAGCCCAAAAGCUUUCCGGCUGGUACUCUGAAGACACAUUUUUCCAGGUUGAGCUUAAUGUCAUAUGCUCGGAGGUUGUCAAAUGUCACCCUCAAGUCGUCAACUAGAGUUUCGACGUGUUUGGUCUUGACGACCACAUCGUCUACGUAUGCCUCUACUGUUUUGCCUAUCUGGGUAGCCAGACAUGUCUGAAUCAUGUGCUGAUAUGUUGCGCCGGCGUUUUUGAGUCCGAAGGGCAUUGUGUUGAAGCAGAAUGGCCCAUAUGGAGUAAUGAAUGCCAUUGCGGCCUGGUCUUUUUCCGCCAUCUUGAUUUGAUGGUAUCCGGAGUAUGCAUCGAGGAAGCACAAUGAAUCGUGCCAUGCGGUAGCAUCGAUGAUUUGGUCGAUGCGAGGGAGAGGGAAAGGGUCCUUUGGACAGGCCUUGUUAAGGUCUUUGAAAUCGACGCAGAGGCGCCAGGAUUUGUCCUUUUUUGGUACCAUUACGAGGUUUGAUAUCUCUGAUGAAUCCGGCUUCUAAGAGUUUGGCUAGCUCCUCUCCCAUUGCCUGUCUUUUGGGUUCGGAAAAUCGCUGAAGAGCUUGUUUGACUGGCUUGAAUCCUUUUAGGAUAUUUAGGCUGUGCUCUGCCAGCCUGCGUGGGAUUCCUGGCAUGUCUGAAGGGUGCCAGGCAAAAAUGUCCCAAUUUUCCCGAAGGAAUUCUCGUAGUGCGGCUUCUACAUCAGGAUUUAAUUGUGCCCCAAUGGAUGCCGUCUUUGUGGGGUCCGUUGGAUGGACCUGAAAUUUGACUAUUUCGUCUGCUGGUUUAAAAGAGGUGGACUUGGACCUUUUAUCGAGUAUCACAUCGUCCCUAUCCACCGUGGAGCACAGCGCAGUUAAUUCCUCUGCCGCUAGGGCUUCGGAUAAUGCCUCUAGGGCCAGUGCGGCUGUCUUAUUUUCAGCGCGGAGUGUUGUAUCUGGAUCACUGGCGAGAGUGAUUAUUCCAUUGGGUCCGGGCAUUUUGAGCUUCAUGUACCCGUAAUGGGGUAUAGCUUGGAAGAUUGUGAAUGCCUCUCGCCCUAACAAAGCGUGAUAUCCGCUGCCGAAUGGGGCCACUUGGAACGUGACCUCUUCGGACCUAUAAUUGUCCGGUGAGCCGAACACUACAUCUAGUGUGAUUUUUCCUGUGCAGCGUACUUCUCGACUAGGAAUUAUUCCCCUGAAGGUUGUGCUACUUCGCUCAAUGCGGCUCCAGUCAAUUUCUAUUUUUUGAAGGGUUUCCUCAUAGAUGAGGUUUAAUCCGCUGCCGCCAUCCAUGAGUACCUUGGUAAGACGAAAGCCGUCCACUAUCGGACUGAGGACCAAUGCGGCUUGUGCUCUAGCUGUUCGGAAUUUAGGUUCGUCGCUGGCAUUGAAGGUGAUAGCCGUGUCGCUCCAUGUAUUUGUUGUUGCUACUUGGUAGACUUCGGCGAGACUGCGGAUUGUUCGUUUCCGCAUGUUAUUUGAUGCGAAAGUCUCGAAGACUGUUAAUACCGUACUGGUGCUGCUGGGCUGGUUGCCCGGGGCUAAAAAGCCUUCGCCACUUUUGGCCACUUGCCGUAAUAUCCAACAUGCUCGAAGGCUAUGUGUUGGAGUGGCGUCCUCCGCACUGUGGAUUUUGCAGGGUCCGUUGAGCCAUCCCUCCAGUACGGUUCCGUACCCUUUAUGGGGUUUUUGCUUUUUGGUUUUUAACCCAGGUGCUUGAGUAUGACGCACCCUUUUAUUUCGGACUGGGAUUGUAUUCAGGGCCGGAUUGUCCCAAAACCUAGUUUCGGUUUUCCAGGCACUUUCCAUCGCGUAGUAUUUUUGUACAAUGGUCGCUAGGUCGGCGAAGCGUGUAACUUCGCGACGACUGAUGGCGUUUAUGAUUCCCUUGUCCGUGCAAUUGUUGCAGAAGAUUGAAAUCGCGCUUUCUUCACGGCAGUCCUUUAUCCUGUCCAUAACCAGGAGGAAUCUGGCCCAGUAAUGAUGUACUGUUUCAUCGGGCUCUUGACGUAUUUGAGAUAGAUCGCUUAUGUUUGGGUGGGCGGGUGGAAUCAAGUUCGGAAACCCGCCCAAUCUGAGGCUCAAAGGCCAAGAAACUUCUGGAUUCGGAAGCUUGGUUUGCUGGACGCUUUCCAACAAAUCUGGUCCGAUGCCUGACUUUAGGUUCAGUAUUUGAUUAGCGUCCGUCCCUCCGCGGGAAUCCGGCAUGGAGGGAUCGGGAAUCUGGACAUAGUUGGUUUUUAACAUAGAAGAAGAGUCGCCGCAUUGUUCCUCUACCACAACAACGUGGUGGGUAACCUGGGGAGAGUUGAUUUCUCUCAGAUCGGUUUUAAGCCCAAUCUGAUCGUAGUCGGUAGCGACUCCCAGGGCGGCGAUGCGAUCCAAGAGCUCAUUUACGGAGGAGAGCUCAAUCGGAUCUAGCUGCUCGGCAAAUUCCGAGCUGACGUGAAGAUCUCUUUUAAUGACCUGAGAGGUCAUUGUCGGAGCGAUGGCCGAACAGGCGGUCAUAAGAAAACCACCUAGCCGGAUAGUCUGGCCGGCGGCCAAAGCUCCCUUGACGACGGUGCCGUCUUUGAAGACGGGAAAAGGCAUCCUUCCUGAUGGUGACGGCACAGAGGAACUCUCAAUGAAAGCACCAAUGUCGGUGUCAAAACCGGCGGAUCUCGGGUAGGGAGUCCCGAACUGUGCGUCUAGGCGGAUGGUAACAGGAGACAAGGGACACGAUGUUUUACCCAGGUUCGGGCCCUCUUAAUGGAGGUAAAACCCUACGUCCUGCUUGAUUAAUAUUGAUGAUGUGUGUUACAAGAGUGGAUCUACCACGAGAUCAAGGAGGCUAAACCCUAGAAGCUAGCCUAUAGUAUGAUUGUUGUUCGUCCUAUGGACUAAAGCCAUCCGGUUUAUAUAGACACCGGAGAGGGCUAGGGUUACACAAAGUCGUUUACAAUGGUAGGAGAUCUACAUAUCCGUAUCGCCAAGCUUGCCUUCCACGCCAAGGAAAGUCCCAUCCGGACACGGGACGAAGUCUUCAAUCUUGUAUCUUCAUAGUCUUGGAGUCCGGCCGAUGAUGAUAGUCCGGCUAUCCGGACACCCCCUAGUCCGGGACUCCCUCAGUGAGCCUUCUCAUGAAGCUUUCCUUUGAUACAAGCACUGCAAGCAUGAUCUUUGGCAAAACUAACAUUUGUUAGUCCACGGACAUGGUCCCCCUUGAGAAGACUUUGCAAAGAUCUCAUAUUGACGUGGGCUAAACGGUGAUGCCAAAGCCAUCCCACAUCAACUUCAGCCAUUAGGCAUGUCGCGGUCUUAGUGGGUCGCUCCGAAAAGUUUAUCACAUAAAGACCGUUCUCGACAUGCCCAACAAAGGCUACUUUAAGAGUCUUGCUCCACAAGAGGGCCGCGGUAUCAAUAUCAAAGAAAGUGGCAAAGCCCAUGAGUGCAAGUUGACGAACGGAAAGUAGAUUGAAAGCAAGGGACUCAACAAGCAUGACUUUCUCGAUCGUUAGAUCAUGAGAAAUGACAACCUUGCCAAGACCCAAUACCUUAGAAGACGAGGCAUCACCCCACUCGACGUUGGUGGGCAUAGAAGGAAUCUUGUUCACAUCCACCACCAAGUCCUUGCUUCCGGUCAUAUGAUUCGUUGCUCCACUAUCGAGCAACCAUGAUCCCCCACCGGAAGCAAACACCUACAAGAGAUCAAUGCUUGGUUUUAGGUACCCAUUUUGUAAUGGGUCCUUUGAUGUUAGUAACAAGGGUAUUAGGAACCCAAAUAGACCAUUCAAUGUACUCAUAAAGAGAACCAAAAUUUUUAGCAUAAACAUGCCCAUCACUAGCACGGCACAACACAUAAGAAGGGUUAAAGUCGCCGACUUUAUUGGAAGGGGUGGCAUCGCCCUUUUUGACAUCACCACCCUUCACCUUGUUCUUCUUCUCCUUAGGAGCACCCUCUCUCUCCUUCACAAAAGUUUGCUUGAGAGGAGGAGGUCGUUUGGCCUUGUCGUUCUUCUUCUUGUUCUUGGACUUGGGUGUGAACCCAACUCCUUCCAUGGCCAGAACUUCCUUUUGAUUGCUCAAAAGGUCAUUGAGGUUCUUCUCACCUUGUAUGCAUGUAACAAGGCCUUUCUCAAGUUGCUCCUUCAACUUGGCAUUUUCCUCCACAAGAUGCACAUGCUCACAACAUGGGUUAGCGGCAUUUGCAUCAUCAAUUAAUACCAUAUGAGGAAAGGUGGGUUUUUCUUUAGUUAGCUUCACUUGGAGUUGAUCAUGAGACUCCUUGAGGCUACCAUGAGCACUCUUCAAGACCUUGUGGGCCUUGUCGAGUAUAUCAAACUCCUCUUUGAGUCUAGCAUGGUCAACGCCAAGUUUAGCCUUCUCGGAAGUUAGCACACGAGAUACAACAAGAGCAUGAUCAAGAUCUUUCUUUAACUUAGCAUGGUCAUCGUUGUGUGACUCCUCAAGAGCCAAACGAUGCCCACGCUCUUCCUCAAGAGCAUUAGAGAGAUCCGAUAUCUCAUCAGCAUAGUCACGACUAUGACCUUCCAUCUUAGAGAUGGUUUCUUCAUGAGCCUCAAUCAUGUCAUUAGCUUCACCAAGUUGUUCCAAUAGAGCAACAGAGUGCUUCCUGGAUUUGCCCUUGAGCUUACUCAUAAAAGACUCAAAUUCAUUUACUUCCUCAUUAGACCCCUCACUUUCAUCAAUGCCAUCCGUCAAGGAAGGAUUAGAAAUGAUGGUGGUUUUGAUGUUGGCGGUUACCUUGUUGGUGGCUUUAGCCAUGAGACACUUGGCGAUGAUGUUCUCAUUGGGUGAGUCGAAGAGGGACACCCAUGGAGUUGUGGCAAAGGCAACAGAGGCCAUGGCCAUGGCUUAACUAUCUUCAUCAUCAUCGUCAUCCUCAUGGUAUUCUUCUUGAACCACCAACCCUUGAGUAGGAGUCUUUUUGGUGAAUUUGUUCUUGUUGGGGAAGGACUUGGCUUUGUCCUUUCGAAUGAGCUUGCCACCAUUGUCUUCCCGCUUCUCGUAAGGGCAAUCCACAACAAAAUGGCUCACAUUACCACAAUUGUAACAUGUUCUCACACGUUGCUUGCCCUUGAACCCACUUGACUUGUUCGUGUUGAAGUUGGGCCUUGUGUUCUUCUUGCUCCAAAAUUGCCUUGAAGCAAGAGCCAUGUGCUCAUGAUAAUCAUAUUUUGUAUCUUCGGGGUUGCUCUCCUCAUCUUCCUCUUCUUCCUCUUCUUCCACAAUAACCUUGGCCUUCAAGGCAAGGUUGGGCUUCUUUACCCGUUGAGAGCGCAACACCAUGUUGUCGACGGCCUUGUCCAAGAUCCUCAUUGCCACAAACUCAUCCAACACUUCAUUUGAGGUCAAGGAGUGGAAGUCCGGUCUCUGACGGAUGAUGGAGGACAAGGCCUUGUGGUAAGGCAUCAUUGCUUUAAGAAACUUGCGCUUGAUCCAAUUGUCAUCCGUGUCCUUGCUCCCAUGAUCUCGGAGUGAGACCGCAAGUUUGGUAACUCUCCGGAAGAGCUCACGAGGUUCUUCAUCUUCUUUCAUUGCAAACUCAUCGGCUUCAUCUUGCACCACUUCGUAAUUGGAGCGUUGAAUGCUUGCACUUCCCUUAUAGAGGGAAACAACGCAAUGCCAUGCGUCUUUGGCCAUGGCGAAGGGUCGAAGAUGAGGGAGAUCUUCGGGAAGAACUGCAUCUUGAAUGAUGAAGAGAGCAUUCUCAUUGAAUUGAUGGUCCACGGCUUCUCUAGGGGUGAGGUUGCUUCGGUCAUGUGGAUGAAAACCUUCUUCAAUGAUUCUCCAAAGGUUAGUAUUCACAUGAUUUAAAUGACGCUUGAAGCGAUACACCAAGAAUCAAAGUCCUCAUUUUUCACAAUCUUAGGAGGAGGCCCGGCAUGAUUUAAAUGAGUAGAAGGAAUCAGUCCUCCAUAGACUGGAGGCGCCACAUGGGCAAAAAUGCCGGUGCCAUUUCUACCACUAGUAGAAGGAUCCUUUUCACUAGUAGCUUCCCCCUUAUCGGAGUUAGCAUCCGUCACCUUGUCAAUGGGAUCACCCACUUUCAACAGCCAGGUAGAUAGUUUAAGUCCUUCUAAGAAUUUAUUAAACAUGCUGUCAACCUCGGUUUUCAUGGAAGUUUUCAAUGUGUCCAAAGCCACAUUGAAUUCCUCACGUGACACCGUGGUUCCCCCUUCACCCGUAGACGAGAUCGGAUUCACACCGGAGUGCUCCUCCCUACUGUCUACGGUGUCAACCAUACUCUUCGGACGACAAAGUCCUUAAUAAAGAGACGAGGCUCUGAUACCAAUUGAAAGGAUCGAUAUAGUUGACUAGAGAGGGGGGGGGGGUGAAUAGGCAACUAACAAUUUUUAGCUUUUCUUUACCAAAUUAAACUUUGCAUCAAAGUAGGUUGUCUAGAUAUGCAACUAGGUGAACAACCUAUAUGAUGCAACAAUAACAAGCACACAAGCAAGCAAGAGAUAUAACACAAGUAAGCUUGCAAAAGUAAAGGCACGAGAUAACCAAGAGUGGAGCCGGUGAAGACGAGGAUGUGUUACCAAAGUUCCUUCCUUUUGAGGGGAAGUACGUCUCCGUUAGAGCGGUGUGGAGGCACAAUGCUCCCCAAGAAGCCACUAGGGCCACCGUAUUCUCCUCACGCCCUCACACAAUGCGAGAUGUCAUGAUUUCACUAUUGACGCCCUUGAAGGUGGCGACCGAACCUUUACAAACAAGGUUGGGGCAAUCUCCACAACUUAAUUGGAGGCUCCCAACGACACCACGAAGCUUCACCACAAUGGACUAUGGCUCCAAGGUGACCUCAACCAUCUAGGGUGCUCAAACACCCAAGAGUACCAAAAUCCGCUAGGGAUUAGUGGGGGGAAUCAAAUUUCUCUUGGUGGAAGUGUAGAUCGGGGCCUUCUCAACCAAUCCCGAUCAAAUCAACAAGUUUGAUUGGCUAGGGAGAGAGAUCGGGCGAAAAUGGAGCUUGGAGCAACAAUGGAGCUUAGGGAUAGAAGAGGUGGCCAACUAGAGGAAGAAGACACCCCUUAUAUAGUGGAGAGACAAAUCCAACUGUUAUCCACUUACUUAGCCCGCGACCUGCGGUACUACCGCUCCAGACAAGCGGUACUACCGCAGGGGCUCACGGUACUACCGCAGGGGCUCACGGUACUACCGCUGCAACGACAGGGGCUAGUCCAGGCCAGAGCCGCCAAGACUGAGAGCGGAACUGCCGCUGACGUGGUACUACCGCUUCCCCUUGCGGUACUACCGCAAGGCCAGAAUGGACUAGACUGGGAAGGGCACAGAUGAAUAAAAAUACAUCCGUGCCUACUUCCGCUGAAAAUCAAACAGUGUAAAAAUCUGACACGAUACUACUGCGCCUGGCAUGCGGUACUACCAUGCAGGGAGCGGAUGUAAAAAAUUACAUCCGCCCCUACUUCCGCUCGUGCUACUGAGCCAGACCAGGACUCACGGUACUAUCGCGUGCAUGGGGCGGUACUACCGCGUAGGGCGCGGAUGUAAAAAAUUACAUCCGCCCCUACAGCCGCACGAGAGGCUGAGUCUGGCCUGAGGCCACGGUACUACAACUCCAUAGGAGCGGUACUACCGUGUUCGCCUACGGUACUACCGCAGGGGCCUGCGGUACUACCGCUCCUAGGAGCAGUUCUACCGCAUGCCUCAGAAUAGCAACACUAGGAAUCCUUCUUUUUGCACAACAAUGAAGAUAACGGAGGAUGCUCCAAAGAGCAAAGGGAAAGGUGGUGCAAACGGAGAAAACGUGUACGUGAUGAUUCCACCGAACUUUUCCACCGCGGACCCCCUCUUAAUAGAACGACUACCCUACGACUCAAAUCCACCAAAAGAGACGUUGAACACCGCCGCCUUCAAUGUCUUCGAGGGGUACCAAACCGUCUUGUGCCUAGCGACGAAGUGACUGAAAUACUCAAGGCACACGAUUAGUCCGCAAAAGCAUUGUCAUCAAUCACCAAAAUACCUUAGGGAUAAAAAUGCCCUUACACUUACGAUCUCGUCUGCCGCAUGCAAUGGCCACCUUGCCUGCAGCUGAGCAACCACUUGAUAAAACUUGGUUACGCUGGUCUAGAUGGCAUGCAAGCGAUACGAUAACGACCUCACAUUGUGUUGUUGACUGAUGUAACUGUCGUAGGGCGCAGUGCUUUCGUGCGCGAAAUAAUUCAUGCACCUGCUGCCAGAAGGUCCCCCUCAGCUUCUGCUUACGAAAUCUGCAGAUACGGCCAACCACACAUUGCAUAAUAACUCAUACUCCAUUGUUGAGUAGCUCACCAUCAUUCAUACACUAAAAAACAACAUAGCGUUUGAAUAUAAGCUCAAUGGCAUUUGACCAAACACCUGUAGCCCGUGCUGUCCACCAUGGAGGUCGCCGACGGGGAGGGGGGAAGUGUACCUGGGUACAAACGGCUCUUGGGUGGACAACGGCAUCGUAAAGGCGAGGACGCGUCACCGACAAUGCCUCUAUGGCGGCCAGAGACAUACAACAGUGGCGGGGGAGGUGGAGGUUGUGGAUGCAAGCAAGGAGGAGAAGGACAUAGUGGAAGGAAAUGAGACCGAGAGGGGGGGGGUUGGGUGGGCUUGGGGUGUCGAAGUCCUGCAUGGCUGCUGUUCGGACUCCCGCAACCCCCCAACUUUGUCACCAACUUGCGGGAGAAAACACGUCCAGACUGCACCGCAGACCGAUACAGUCACGCGUUGGAUGGCUUCUGCGGCCCGGUCGUAUGUGAGCGGUUAGAGGGUCGCCAUCGGAGAUGCCCUAAGGGCUGUAAUGCACCCGAUGAAUUACUGCACAACCUUCAGAUUUUUUGUGUGUGGCCAUCUUUAGGAUCGCUUUGACCUUCUCCGGGUGGCCUCAAUCUCGCAUACAGAAAUGAUGAAACCGAGGAGAUUCUGCAGGUAAUCUGAUUAUACAUUUCUCUUGGUCAAGCUUCGAGUUGAUCUGCGUGAGGUCUGUGAAGGUUUUCCCCAGAUCCGCCAGGAGAUCAUCCCCGCACUUGGACUUUAUCACGAUGUCGUUGACAAAGGUGUGGAAGUUUCUGCCGCCCCACUAGUGUCAACAUUUUUUAAUACACCAUUGGUAAGUCGCACCAACAUUUUUUAGGUCAAAUGCAUGAAAAUUAGGAGAAAGUUUCAUAGGAGAUGAUGAAGGAGUCUUGAUAUCAUCUGAAUACUUCAUUUUUAUCUAAUGAUAGCCUGAAUAUACGCCCAAAAUACGCGAAUGCUCGCAACCGGCCAUGGAAUUGAUCACUUGGUCGAUAUGUGGCAGCACGAAUGAAUCCUUGGGGCAUGCCUUGUUUCAGUGGCGGAUCCAGGAUUUGAAGUUACACGGGGCAAACUUUUAAAGGAAAAAAAAACUCAAAGCUACAAUGCAAAUCAUAUGCUCAACAAAAAUUAAUUGUUCAAAGUAGUUUAAUGCUCAAGAACUAAACGAAAAUGUAUACACAUAUAAUGCAAAAAAUCAUACAAAAUCUGACUUGGACUCCCGUUCUGAAAUGGUUGAAUUUACUUCACAUUGGCAAACUCAGGGUCUAAGCUAAUUCAACGGGAUAUCUCUACAAACAUAAUCAAUCUGCUUGAUCCUCCUAUGUCCCAAUAACAUCAAAAUGGUAAUUAAUUUUCAGUAUUCAAUUUAGAAACAUUAGGCCAAUAUGACAAAAAAAUUAAGAAUGAUAUAUAUAGAACAUAAGAGGAGAAGAUUAGGGAAGAGUGGACGAACCUGUUGGCUACCCGCUUGCAGGUGCACUUUUGAGUGGGGAGCGCGUGGCGUUAGCGAUGACCACGCUGCCUCCCUUGCAGAAGACACCGGGAACAAGUGGACUCCCUUCUCCUUCUUCAUCCAACACCAUCUGUUGGACGGACCUGGAUAGCGCCUCGGCGAGGCGGCAGUGGAGGGCGCCGCGUCAAGGCGGCGAGGCGGCAAGACAGGGCGUGAUCGCGUGAUACUGCUCAGUUCCACAAUCAAUCGAUGGAAUAGGUCAGGCUGCGUACAAAAAAUAUUGGGCUCAUCUAAUCUUUCACUGGGCCUUACUUGACUGGCCCAUCUCCGAGCGAAUCGCUACCUGGCCUAUCUCGUGCAGAAUCCCUCUGCUCAAAAAAAAAAAUCUCGUGCAGAAUCGUUUUCUUUCCUGUUCUCUCGUCAUGCUCGACUUCACCUCGCACCUCCGACCGAAUCAGCAGCAGGGUUACCUAGAUUCCCAAAAAUUUACCCGGGGCGGCCGCCCCCACACGACCCCACGCUGGCGCCGCCCCUGCCUUGUUUAGGGGUUGGUAGUCAACACACAUGCGCCAAGUGUGGUUCAUUUUGGGAUAUACAAUGACUAAGGAGGCCAUGGAUUGAGAGAACGAUCAAGAAAGAUGAUGAACAGAGGAUUGAUAGGGUGAAAUAACUAGAUAGGCAUGGGGUGGCCAGCAUGGGCAAGGACCCUCCCCAACAUGAUCAGUUUGCUUGUACACUUAAGUACUAUCAAUUUUUUGUAUUUCCUUCAAUGCACCUCCCUCAACACUAGGACUUGAGAAAAUCCCACCUCGGCCACUUGAAAGAACACUAGAGGAAGAGAAAUCAAUUAUGAGAGAAGGGAUAAGAACAAACGAGGGGGAGUAGUGGUGGAUCUCAGAGACAGACGAAGGAUCAAAUUGGAAGAGGGAGGGGAUCAACGGGGAGGGAAGAGUUGGCACCACGUCGGCCGUGGGACUAUCGCCAGAAGUCACCUCAAACACAGUCAAUUCGGACACGUACCCUCGUUGUUCUAGCUGGGCAAUUAGUUGGACCUCAAGUUUUUUUAUUUGAAACAAGUUGGACCUUAAGUUGAUGUUAACAAAAUGAAAACAUUGCAAAUGUCUUUUGCACCAACAUAUUUUUCCCUCCCUCUUUACACAAACCCACAACCUCCCCAGUGCGUCUCUCUAACGGUUCCAAAGACGCACAGAGAGGGCACCUCCAAUCCCGCCUCAGCCGUCGGCGAGUCCGCGGGCUCCUUCCUCCUCCGUUUGCCUCGGCAACGGCUAGAUGGAGGAGCCCCGGUUCUCCGCCUUAGGUGUGUAGAUAGGUUUAGGGUAGGUUGGUCCUCCUGCGUCACUUCAAUGGUGUUAGCGGCACUGUGUCGAAUAAGAUUUCCCGAGUCCUGGCAUCAUCUCGGCGGCGUCCUUCAUGACAGUGUUGAGAGGCUCGUGGAUCUGUGUAUUCGUUGUUCCUUUCGAUCAGCGAGUCUAGCGUCUCCAUGCGGCUGCAUCGGGGCAACGACUGCAAUGCAAGGUAUUGUGUGUAGCGUGGCGCUGUUUUUGAUGGUGACUGCGGCAUUGCAUCCAAGGAUAAUGCCCAAACUCUAGUCCCUUCUCGAUGUCGUCAAUGGCGGCAUCGAGGAGCGGGUGGGCUCAGUCUCCCGUUGAUCCUUCUGGAAGGCGGUUUUAAGUCCAUGGCCGGUGGUUGUCAUCCCUGGUGACAUCACCGAUGACUUUGAGAGGAUGGUGGUUCUGGAUCUUGACUUGCGGCUGAUCUGGUGCUCGGCCUCGACGACAUCGACGGCUGACAGUAACUCCGGAAUUCGAGGAGGACGGGGAAGAUCCCCGCCCGACACGCCACAAUGAUAAAAGGCCUGGUCCUUCGAAGACUUCUUCAUCGGCUCACAACGCCCUUCUUGGCUAUGGUUCUCCUCUGAAUUCUACGACGAUGUCGAUGGUGACGACAGUUGCCGGAAUUCCUAUGGUCUUCAAUGUGAUUUUAUUUUCUUGGAGGGGUUUUGCGCAAAGUUGUGGGAGCACAUAUUUUCUCUCGGACUUUCUGAUCGGUUCCUGUGUGCUUUUGUAUUCACUAUGUUUGUGAUUAAUGAACCACGCGAUAAUCCUAAAAAAACAUAUAUUUUUUAGAUAAAACACGACACACAACCUAACACGACCAAAUGGGCCGGAUAGCCCGUGUGCCCGCACCGUGGUCUGCACGGAACCGCCUCUGCAACGGUAAUCUUCGCACCGCACCGCGUUGCCGACCGACCGACCGACCCCUCGCCCUGCCCACCCGGUCCGCAUCAAGACCCAACCCACCACCACCAGCUCCACUCCCCUCCUGUUUCCGCCGCCCGCCCAAGCCGCCUCCGGCAAGGACCUGGCCGGCGCCACCGCCCCUUCCCCGGCGGCCCGCCCACGGCCAGGCGCGCCUUGUCCUCCCUCCCUGCGCUCUGGCCAUGGCCCGCCGGUGUGCUCCUCCUCCCUUCGUCCGGGGCCCCGGGUCGUGCCUCCCGCCUCGCCUCGCCUCCUCGCGCCUGGUUUGGAUUCGCUCGUCCUCGAUUCGCCGCCCGUUUAGGUUUAGAACCACGCAAGAUUUGGUUUCUGCUCGUGCUCAAUUCGUCCGUUUGGGAUUGCGCCUGGUUUGAUUUUGCUCGCCGUCGCCCGUUUGGGGUCUCGUCCGGUUCGAUUUUGCUUGUCGCCUUCGUCCGUUUAGAGUUGCCGUCCGGUUCGAUUUUGCUCGUCGCCGUCAUCCGUGUGGAAUCGCGUACGCUUCGAUUUUGCUCGUCCUCGCCGUCGUCUGUGGAGUAGCGUCCGAUUCGAUUUUGCUCGUCUUCGUCGUCGUCCGUGUCGAGUCGCGUCCGGUUCGAUUUCGCUCGUCCUCGCCGUUGUCCCGAUGCGCUCGCGUGGUCCGUCUCGCCUCGUCGGGGGUGGAUUACGGCCGGAGACGGGGAGCGAUGUUCGUUUAUCGUGCUAGUUCAGACCGGUUCCUCGGUUACGUCACCUGCGUUGCUCUCUUGUGAUACUCUGUCAAUUCUUGGUCCUCUGUCAGUUCUUGUUGGCCCUCUGUCAAUUCUUGAGUUCUUGUUGUACCGGUUAGGCCUUUGGCGUGUGUGCUCUCAUCUUAGAUGGGGUGAUUCCUUAGUUCUGAUGGUGUAGACUGUUUAUGUUCUUUCCAAUUUGUUUCUUUUUUAUCAUGCUUUGCUUUGUUUUGCCUGCUGCUGAACUAAUUGAACACCUGCUGCUGCUACUGUUGGACAAAGGUUCCUUCUUUUCUUCCUGAUGUUGCUAUUUUACUCAUAGGAGUUCUAGAUGAGCUGCUGCUAGUUAAUUCCCCUUAGACUACAUUCUAGAUUGAAUAGCAUAACUCAAGAAUUUUGUCAUUGCACACAUGGGCAUAUAUAUAUUUCUGUUGUGAGCAUAACUCCAAAACUUAUUUAUCCAUGAAAGCACGUUCAUCUCAUGUUUAUGCGCAUGUUUUUUUUUUGUCCAUGAAUUCUGUCGUGUCCCUUUCCUUUGGACAAAAAUUUCAACAAACCUAUAACGUGGACAUGUGCUGCUUGUUUUCAUGUGAUGAUGGUGAUCUAGUUGACUAGCCCAACUCUUAUGCUCUGACAUUUGUUAAUCCCCAGUUAGUGUGCUUGAAAAAUUAUUGCUUGUCAUGUUAAAUUUUAUGGCAUCAACUCGGUAUUGUGAUUAGUGACCUAGUACUCUGUAUUUGUUUAGUGUAGACAGCUAACUUCUUUUUUCUUAUUUUUUUAGUGAUAUGCGUGUUCUGCUAUGUCUUAUGUUGAUAGUAUAUUCUUUAUUAUUAUUAUUCAUGUCCAGUCACUGGAAUAAUGCUUUUCUUGAUUUUCCUAGACUUUGUGACAAUUAAUUUAUAGUGCGAUCAUUGAGUUUCUGACAUCCUAUUGCAUAAAAUUCUGUUGUAAUGUUUGUUGGAUCAUUGAGUAGUUAAUAUUGAUUCUGAGCUUGUUGGAUCAUUGAACUUCUGCGUGCGCUUCUGUUAUCUGAGGGACACUCAUGAUCCCGCAUUUCGUGUGUGCGGCGGAGCGAUGAACGAUUACGUUUUGCGUUCCUGCGUUUUGUGUUCGCCGUCUGGUUUUGAAUUUGGAUUACGGAGACGGGGAGAGGCCUGAGUAAGGUCAGUUUCAGAUCGGUUCCGUCGCUGCGUUGAUCGUCGGCGAUUUCCAGACCUCAAACGCAUGCGCCCUUGUGAUACUCUAAUUUGGCUCGUGGUCGUUACGGUUGUUCUUACGUUCUUGAAUAACCCCAUCUUAUUCGCAGAGAUGGUGUGAUUCGUUAUGGUUCUUCUGAUGGUUGCUUAUGUUCUUUCGAAUUGGGUUCUUCUUGUAAUGCUUUGCCUAUGUUCCCAAUGUCUGUCUUUCUAAUUGGCUGCUUAUGUUCUUUCGAAUUGGGUUCUUCUUACGGGGAUGCGUUCAGAGGUGCAAACCAUGUAGGCCGUGGUGUGUUUAUACUAUCUAUGGUGUGUUCUACACUAUCUGAUGUGGAACGUAGAAAUAUUGAUAUCACUUCUGUGCUAGUAUACUAGAUAUGGUGUGUUUCAUCCAAGUUAACCACAUCUCUUACAAAUUUUCCUUGGAGUGAUUGAUGUCUUGAUGAAUAUAAUCAUUUAUGCUAACUUGGUAUUGGUAGUUCCUGAGGUAACACACCAGUACUUGUUUAGUGCAGACAAUUGACUAUUCUUUUUUCUGAACUUUUUUGUGAUAUGUGUGUUAUGUGGAUACCAUAUUCUAAUGCUUUUCUAAGUAUUCAAGGUACAGACUUGUGGAUCUGGACAUGUCAAAUUUGCUCUUUAUUGGGUUGCUAAGGACACUGAACAGUUUGGCUGGGCCACUGCACGGCCUGGCUAAUCAGGUUCACUUGAUUUUAUGUGUAGUUGAUGUUCUCUGCCACAUCAUGCUCAAUUUGUGCUUCCCAAAUGGAUCUCCUGGAACAAAUUGUUCAUAACAAAUGAACAAAUUGCAGAACUUGUGGCUAUGCUAUUUACCCACUUGCUUUUGCACAUAAUGUUAAGAAGAAGAGAAACAUAUGCCCUGUUAUUUUAAAAUGCUGUAUUUACUGUUUUGAUGCGCAUAAACUGAGAAUAGUCACCAUAUACUGCAGGAAGUGUUGCUAUGAAUCAAAUCUAUAAUGAAACAGACUGGGAGUAACAUCACAACCGACCAACUUAAAGAAUAUGUAUGGAAGACACUGGAGAGUGGAAAGGUAGCUUAUCUCAAAUCAAGUUAUAUCUAUUCAAUUAUCAAGCACUAAUUAUUGCUCAAGGACUAUAGUUUUAUAAAUACCUCGUGAUCUUGUUUGCGAGUAGAGAAAAUAAUGCAAUAUAGGGAAUUACAGUUGCCACUCAUUUUAUGCUCACAUGGGUUGCAUUGUAGAAACCUAAAUAUCUAUGUAUACCUUCGUGCAUCAUGUCCCUCUUAUGCACCGCAUUUCAGAAAUCUAAAUAUCUAUGUCUUCUUUUGUGUUACUGUUUGGUAGUUCCUGUUGAAGUUGCAAUUUAUAAUGUCUUGUGGGAUUAAACUUUGUUAAGCUGCUGAAAACAGACACCGAAAUUAGCCAUUAAUGAUCAGUAUGAUUUCUAUUUAUUGCAAUCAUGUCAAAAGGUCUUAGCUAUUCAUAUUUCUAGGUAUUAGCUACCAUCAAAGUAAACAAAGAAUAAGUGUGCUCAUUUUAAUUUUAUAAUCCCUCCCCAGACCCCACCUUGUGUGGGACUUCUAUGCACUGGGUCUGUCCUUUACCUAGUAUUGAAAGAUUAUGUAGACCGAAAUUGGUUAGUGUAUACCUGUGUAGAAAAAUGUGCAAAGAAUGCCUGCAUCAUGCUUGUCAUCUUGUGGAAGAAAUCAUCCAGUGAAUUUACUGAUGUCUGGUUGCAUCCAUAGGUUGUUCCUGGCUAUGGUCAUGGAGUUCUACGUAAUACAGACCCAAGAUACUCGUGCCAAAGGGGGUUUACAUUGAAAUAUUUACCCGACCCAAGAUACUCAUGCCGAAGGGAGUUCACAUUGAAAUAUUUACCCGAGGACCCACUUUUCCAACUGGUUAGUUAGAAUCCUUCAUCUAACUGUAUGGUUUCUCUUCGGUUCGACAGUCUCAGUGGAACAUAUAUUAUUCCCUUUCAGGAAUGAAGAUCUGAAUCACCCUCACCCCUCUAGAGAAAUCAAUUUACUCAUUCAAGUUCUAGAAUUUCCUUAUAAUUUUCUGGGUUUACUUCAAUUUUGCAUGUAUUAGCUUUCUCUUUGUGCCCCUAUCUAUCCUUGUUUCUUGUGUGCAAGCGCUUCAUUCUGUGUGUGUGACUGUGUGUGGCUUGACUUUAUGUGUGUGGCUUGAUUAUGUGUGUGGCUUAAUUGUGUGUGUGGCUUGACUGUGUGUAUGGGCUUGACUGUGUGUGUGAGAUUGUGUGUGGCUUGAUGGUGAAUAUGUGUGUGGCUUGACUGUGUGUGUGUGGCUUGACUACGUGUGUGACUGUGUGUGAAUAUUGCAUUUGCUUGACGGUGUGGUUUGUAUAAGUUGUGUUUUAUAUGUCAGGAUUGAUUGUUGUUUGUUGAAUUUGAACAGAUCCAACACUAUUCUUUUUUCUGAACUUUUUUGUGAUUAUGUCUUAUGUGGAUACCAUACUCUUUUUUGUAUUAUUGUUGUCCAGUCACUGGAAUAACACUUUUCUAAGUAUUUAAGGUACAGCCAUGUAGAUCUAGACAUGAUGCUAAUGGGUUGGGUUUGCAUAUAAUGCAGGUAUAUUUACGUUCUUUACAUUUUGCGACAGUCCCAAAACUUUUAUUUAGCCAAAUUUUGCUACUUCUGUUUUUAGAUGCGCUGUAUCCAUAACUACCUAUUGGCACCUGAUAUUUGUGCUCAAAAUGCAGUAUGGACCAACAAAAUGGUCUCAUUGCAAGGUGGACACACUGGUUAUGUGAAGAACUGAUUGGUAAAUAUGAAGCUGAUUUUGAAUUCAUACAUACAGAGAGAAGCUUGGACUAUUGAGGAGGAACAUGCACUGAUUAAUGCCCAUAGGGUAUAUGGGAAUAGAUGGGAAGAAAUAGCAAAAGUUUUUCCUAGAAGGUACCGUCAAACAACUUGCAUCUUAUUGGGAUAAUGUAGCCUAGCCUUGGCCCUCUUUGUUACCAGAUUCCUAGCCCCUGUCACUUCCUCAUUCUUUCCUGCACAUCAUAACGUGUACCACACAUUUGAACAUUGCAGGAAUCGGGUACUUCUAUUUGUUCUUAGGUUCUUCUCACCUAUAGCUAAAGUCAAAGACGACAAAACCAAGUGGAUUAUUGGAGUUACAAGAUACACAAAAUCAUCGGUAAGUUUCUAUCCUUUCAAAUGGCCGGAUUAUGAAUUUUGAUCAGUUUGCCUGACUUGUUUUAAACUGAAUCCUUGAUUCCUUGAUAACUUUGAUCAUAAACUGAUUCCCAAAUAUUUUUGACUCAUAUGAUGCUUAUUACAUCACAGGUCAUCUAAAUCUUCUUUUCUAAUAUGACUGUUGGUGCUGCUCAUGAGGUAAGCUACUUUUCUUGCUUUCAAGAAUAAAUCAUUUACAUUGUGGUCACUCACAUUUUAAGUUGCUCAUGCCAUUUCAGGCUAGCCACCGGCUUGGAAGGGAUGAGAGGCAAUCACUGUUGUCAACUUGAAACGUAUAAUUUUUUAGGUAUGAAUGGCUUACCUUAGCCAGAUUUUCUAUAAGAAUUUUGCUCAUGUUACAUGCCUUGCUUUCUCUAGUAAGUAGAACAAGAACACAUUUAACUUUUCUUUUCUGUUCAUAGUCCUACAAACUUGUGGGUAGUGUUGAAGAUAAUCGCUUAAUCAACCUCUAAUCGUUUUCAGGAACGAAGAUCUGAAUCACCCUCCCGCCUCGAGAGAAAUCAGUUUAGUCAUUCAGGUUCUGGUAUUUCUUUAUAGCUUUCUGAGUUUACUUUGGUCUUUCAUGUAUUUGCUUUCUGUUUGUGCCCCUAUCUAUUUCUGUUCUUGUGUGCAAGCGCUCCAUUCUGUGUGUGUCCGACUUUGUGUGGCUUGAUUCUCUUGUGUGUGUCACUGUGUGUUUGACUAUGUGUGAAUAUUGCAUUUGACUGUGAUGCGUUACUAUGUUUGACUCUGUGUGUGUGAUUGUGUGAAUAUUGUGCAUUUGACUGUGAUGUGUGACUGUGUGAGUAUUGUAUUUUGACAAUGACUGUGUGUGGCUUGACUGUGUGUGUGUGGCUUGUAUGCUUUGCUGAAUGAUUGGUUGUUGUGGCUUAACACUGCCUCUGCCGGUCCCAAGCCCGGAUGUGAAAAUGUGGAGGGAGUCUGUUUCUCGUGUGCAAGUGCUACAUUAUGUGUGUGACCAUGUGUGUGAUGUGUUCGUAUCUAUGUCUAAUUCUUUUGUCUUGAUUGUGUGCAAGUGAUUGAUUGGGUGUGUGCUUGCGUGACCAUGCGUGUAUUGCAUUUGCUUGACGGUGUGGUUUGUAUAACUUGUGUUUUAUAUGUGAGGAUUGAUUGUUGUUUGUUGAAUUUGAACAGAUCUAACACUAUUCUUUUUUCUAAACUUUUUUGUGAUUAUGUCUUAUGUGGAUACCAUACUCUUUUUUGUAUUAUUGUUGUCCAGUCACUGGAAUAACGCUUUUCUAAGUAUUUAAGGUACAACCAUGUAGAUCUAGACAUGAUGCUGAUGGGUUGGCUUUGCAUACAAUGCAGGUAUAUUCACGUUCUUUACAUUUUAUAACAGUCCCAAAACUUUUAUUUAGUCAAAUUUUGCUACUUCUGGUUUUAGAUGCGCUGUAUCCAUAACUACCUAUUGGCACCUGAUAUUUGUGCUCAAAAUGCAGUAUGGACCAACAAAAUGGUCUCAUUGCAAGGUGGACAUAUAGGCAAGAAAUGUCAAGAGAGGUACUCUUUUGAUUGUUUUAUUUUUAUGGUUUAUGGAUUAUAUUUUGCAUUUCCCCCUUUGUGCAAGACAAACAGGGAAUGUUUACUAAUUUAGAAACACGCUGGUUAUGUGAAGAGCUGAUUGCUAAAUAUGAAGCUGAUUUUGAAUUCAUACAUACAGAGAGAAGCUUGGACUAUUGAGGAGGAAUCUGCACUGAUUAAUGCCCAUCGGGUAUAUGGGAAUAGAUGGGCAGAAAUAGCAGAAGUUCUUCCUAGAAGGUACCGUCAAACAACUUGCAUCUUGUUGGGAUAAUGUAGCCUAGCCUUGGCCCUCUUUGUUACCAGAUUCCUAGCCCCUGCCACUUCCUCAUUCUUUCCUGCACAUCAUAACGUGUACCACACAUUUGAACAUUGCAGGAAUCGGAUACUUCUAUUUGUUCUUAGGUUCUUCUCACCUAUAGCUAAAGUCAAAGACGACAAAACCAAGUGGAUUAUUGUUGAUACAAGAUACACAAAAUCAUCGGUAAGUUUCUAUCCUUUCAAAUGGCCAGAUUAUGAAUUUUGAUCAGCUUGUUUGACUUGUUUUAAACUGAAUCCUUGAUUCCUUGAUAACUUUGAUCAUGAACUGAUUCCCAAGUAUUUUUUGACUCAUAUGAUGCUUAUUACAUCACAGGUCAUCUAAAUCUUUUUUUCUAAUAUGACUGUUGGUGCUGCUCAUGAGGUAAGCUACUUUUCUUGCUUUCAAGAAUAAAUCAUUUACAUUGUGGUCACUCACAUUUUAAGUUGCUCAUGCCAUUUCAGGCUAGCCACCGGCUUGGAAGGGAUGAGAGGCAAUCACUGUUGUCAACUUGAAACGUAUAAUUUUUUAGGUAUGAAUGGCUUACCUUAGCCAGAUUUUCUAUAAGAAUUUUGCUCAUGUUACAUGCCUUGCUUUCUCUAGUAAGUAGAACAAGAACACAUUUAACUUUUCUUUUCUGUUCAUAGUCCUACAAACUUGUGGGUAGUGUUGAAGAUAAUCGCUUAAUCAACCUCUAAUCGUUUUCAGGAACGAAGAUCUGAAUCACCCUCCCGCCUCGAGAGAAAUCAGUUUAGUCAUUCAGGUUCUGGUAUUUCUUUAUAGCUUUCUGAGUUUACUUUGGUCUUUCAUGUAUUUGCUUUCUGUUUGUGCCCCUAUCUAUUUCUGUUCUUGUGUGCAAGCGCUCCAUUCUGUGUGUGUCCGACUUUGUGUGGCUUGAUUCUCUUGUGUGUGUCACUGUGUGUUUGACUAUGUGUGAAUAUUGCAUUUGACUGUGAUGCGUUACUAUGUUUGACUCUGUGUGUGUGAUUGUGUGAAUAUUGUGCAUUUGACUGUGAUGUGUGACUGUGUGAGUAUUGUAUUUUGACAAUGACUGUGUGUGGCUUGACUGUGUGUGUGUGGCUUGUAUGCUUUGCUGAAUGAUUGGUUGUUGUGGCUUAACACUGCCUCUGCCGGUCCCAAGCCCGGAUGUGAAAAUGUGGAGGGAGUCUGUUUCUCGUGUGCAAGUGCUACAUUAUGUGUGUGACCAUGUGUGUGAUGUGUUCGUAUCUAUGUCUAAUUCUUUUGUCUUGAUUGUGUGCAAGUGAUUGAUUGGGUGUGUGCUUGCGUGACCAUGCGUGUAUUGCAUUUGCUUGACGGUGUGGUUUGUAUAACUUGUGUUUUAUAUGUGAGGAUUGAUUGUUGUUUGUUGAAUUUGAACAGAUCUAACACUAUUCUUUUUUCUAAACUUUUUUGUGAUUAUGUCUUAUGUGGAUACCAUACUCUUUUUUGUAUUAUUGUUGUCCAGUCACUGGAAUAACGCUUUUCUAAGUAUUUAAGGUACAACCAUGUAGAUCUAGACAUGAUGCUGAUGGGUUGGCUUUGCAUACAAUGCAGGUAUAUUCACGUUCUUUACAUUUUAUAACAGUCCCAAAACUUUUAUUUAGUCAAAUUUUGCUACUUCUGGUUUUAGAUGCGCUGUAUCCAUAACUACCUAUUGGCACCUGAUAUUUGUGCUCAAAAUGCAGUAUGGACCAACAAAAUGGUCUCAUUGCAAGGUGGACAUAUAGGCAAGAAAUGUCAAGAGAGGUACUCUUUUGAUUGUUUUAUUUUUAUGGUUUAUGGAUUAUAUUUUGCAUUUCCCCCUUUGUGCAAGACAAACAGGGAAUGUUUACUAAUUUAGAAACACACUGGUUAUGUGAAGAGCUGAUUGCUAAAUAUGAAGCUGAUUUUGAAUUCAUACAUACAGAGAGAAGCUUGGACUAUUGAGGAGGAAUCUGCACUGAUUAAUGCCCAUCGGGUAUAUGGGAAUAGAUGGGCAGAAAUAGCAGAAGUUCUUCCUAGAAGGUACCGUCAAACAACUUGCAUCUUGUUGGGAUAAUGUAGCCUAGCCUUGGCCCUCUUUGUUACCAGAUUCCUAGCCCCUGCCACUUCCUCAUUCUUUCCUGCACAUCAUAACGUGUACCACACAUUUGAACAUUGCAGGAAUCGGAUACUUCUAUUUGUUCUUAGGUUCUUCUCACCUAUAGCUAAAGUCAAAGACGACAAAACCAAGUGGAUUAUUGUUGUUACAAGAUACACAAAAUCAUCGGUAAGUUUCUAUCCUUUCAAAUGGCCAGAUUAUGAAUUUUGAUCAGCUUGUUUGACUUGUUUUAAACUGAAUCCUUGAUUCCUUGAUAACUUUGAUCAUGAACUGAUUCCCAAGUAUUUUUUGACUCAUAUGAUGCUUAUUACAUCACAGGUCAUCUAAAUCUUUUUUUCUAAUAUGACUGUUGGUGCUGCUCAUGAGGUAAGCUACUUUUCUUGCUUUCAAGAAUAAAUCAUUUACAUUGUGGUCACUCACAUUUUAAGUUGCUCAUGCCAUUUCAGGCUAGCCACCGGCUUGGAAGGGAUGAGAGGCAAUCACUGUUGUCAACUUGAAACGUAUAAUUUUUUAGGUAUGAAUGGCUUACCUUAGCCAGAUUUUCUAUAAGAAUUUUGCUCAUGUUACAUGCCUUGCUUUCUCUAGUAAGUAGAACAAGAACACAUUUAACUUUUCUUUUCUGUUCAUAGUCCUACAAACUUGUGGGUAGUGUUGAAGAUAAUCGCUUAAUCAACCUCUAAUCGUUUUCAGGAACGAAGAUCUGAAUCACCCUCCCGCCUCGAGAGAAAUCAGUUUAGUCAUUCAGGUUCUGGUAUUUCUUUAUAGCUUUCUGAGUUUACUUUGGUCUUUCAUGUAUUUGCUUUCUGUUUGUGCCCCUAUCUAUUUCUGUUCUUGUGUGCAAGCGCUCCAUUCUGUGUGUGUCCGACUUUGUGUGGCUUGAUUCUCUUGUGUGUGUGGCUUGACUGUCUGUGUGUGUCACUGUGUGUUUGACUAUGUGUGAAUAUUGCAUUUGACUGUGAUGCGUUACUAUGUUUGACUCUGUGUGUGUGAUUGUGUGAAUAUUGUGCAUUUGACUGUGAUGUGUGACUGUGUGAGUAUUGUAUUUUGACAAUGACUGUGUGUGGCUUGACUGUGUGUGUGUGGCUUGUAUGCUUUGCUGAAUGAUUGGUUGUUGUGGCUUAACACUGCCUCUGCCGGUCCCAAGCCCGGAUGUGAAAAUGUGGAGGGAGUCUGUUUCUCGUGUGCAAGUGCUACAUUAUGUGUGUGACCAUGUGUGUGAUGUGUUCGUAUCUAUGUCUAAUUCUUUUGUCUUGAUUGUGUGCAAGUGAUUGAUUGGGUGUGUGCUUGCGUGACCAUGCGUGUAUUGCAUUUGCUUGACGGUGUGGUUUGUAUAACUUGUGUUUUAUAUGUGAGGAUUGAUUGUUGUUUGUUGAAUUUGAACAGAUCUAACACUAUUCUUUUUUCUAAACUUUUUUGUGAUUAUGUCUUAUGUGGAUACCAUACUCUUUUUUGUAUUAUUGUUGUCCAGUCACUGGAAUAACGCUUUUCUAAGUAUUUAAGGUACAACCAUGUAGAUCUAGACAUGAUGCUGAUGGGUUGGCUUUGCAUACAAUGCAGGUAUAUUCACGUUCUUUACAUUUUAUAACAGUCCCAAAACUUUUAUUUAGUCAAAUUUUGCUACUUCUGGUUUUAGAUGCGCUGUAUCCAUAACUACCUAUUGGCACCUGAUAUUUGUGCUCAAAAUGCAGUAUGGACCAACAAAAUGGUCUCAUUGCAAGGUGGACAUAUAGGCAAGAAAUGUCAAGAGAGGUACUCUUUUGAUUGUUUUAUUUUUAUGGUUUAUGGAUUAUAUUUUGCAUUUCCCCCUUUGUGCAAGACAAACAGGGAAUGUUUACUAAUUUAGAAACACACUGGUUAUGUGAAGAGCUGAUUGCUAAAUAUGAAGCUGAUUUUGAAUUCAUACAUACAGAGAGAAGCUUGGACUAUUGAGGAGGAAUCUGCACUGAUUAAUGCCCAUCGGGUAUAUGGGAAUAGAUGGGCAGAAAUAGCAGAAGUUCUUCCUAGAAGGUACCGUCAAACAACUUGCAUCUUAUUGGGAUAAUGUAGCCUAGCCUUGGCCCUCUUUGUUACAAGAUUCCUAGCCCCUGCUACUUCCUCAUUCUUUCCUGCACAUCAUAACGUGUACCACACAUUUGAACAUUGCAGGAAUCGGGUACUUCUAUUUGUUCUUAGGUUCUUCUCACCUAUAGCUAAAGUCAAAGACGACAAAACCAAGUGGAUUAUUGUUGUUACAAGAUACACAAAAUCAUCGGUAAGUUUCUAUCCUUUCAAAUGGCCAGAUUAUGAAUUUUGAUCAGUUUGUUUGACUUGUUUUAAACUGAAUCCUUGAUUCCUUGAUAACUUUGAUCAUGAACUGAUUCCCAAGUAUUUUUUGACUCAUAUGAUGCUUAUUACAUCACAGGUCAUCUAAAUCUUUUUUUCUAAUAUGACUGUUGGUGCUGCUCAUGAGGUAAGCUACUUUUCUUGCUUUCAAGAAUAAAUCAUUUACAUUGUGGUCACUCACAUUUUAAGUUGCUCAUGCCAUUUCAGGCUAGCAGCCACCGGCUUGGAAGCGAUGAGAGGCAAUCACUGUUGUCAACUUGAAAUGUAUAAUUUUUUAGGUAUGAAUGGCUUACCUUUGCCAGAUUUUCUAUAAGAAUUUUGCUCAUGGUACAUGCCUUGCUUUCUCUAGUAAGUAGAACAAGAACACAUUUAACUUUUCUUUUCUGUUCAUAGUCCUACAAACUUGUGGGUAGUGUUGAAGAUAAUCGCUUAAUCAACCUCUAAUCGUUUUCAGGAAUGAAGAUCUGAAUCACCCUCCCGCCUCGAGAGAAAUCAGUUUAGUCAUUCAGGUUCUGGUAUUUCUUUAUAUCUUUCCGAGUUUACUUCGGUCUUUCAUGUAUUUGUUUUCUGUUUGUGCCCCUAUCUAUUUCUGUUUCUUGUGUGCAAGCACUCCAUUCUUUGUGUCCGACUAUGUGUGGCUUGACUCUUGUGUGUGUGGCUUGACUGUCUGUGUGUGUCACUGUGUGUUUGACUGUGUGUGAAUAUUGCAUUUGACCGUGAUGCGUUACUGUGUGUUUGACUGUGUGUGUGUGAUUGUGUGAGUAUUGUGCAUUUGACUGUGAUGUGUGACUGUGUGAGUAUUGUAUUUUGACAAUGACUGUGUGUGGCUUGACUGUGUGUGUGUGGCUUGUAUGCUUUGCUGAAUGAUUGGUUGUUGUGGCCUAACACUGCCUCUGCCGGUCCCAAGCCCGGAUGUAAAAAUGUGGAGGGAGUCUGGUUCUUGUGUGCAAGUGCUACAUUGUGUGUGUGACUGUGUGUGUGAUGUGUCCGUAUCUAUGUCUGUUUCUUUUGUCUUGAUUGUGUGCAAGUGUUUGAUUGAGUGUGUGCUUGUGUGACCAUGCGUGUAUUGCAUUUGCUUGACGGUGUGGUUUGUAUAACUUGUGUUUUAUAUGUCAGGAUUGAUUGUUGUUUGUUGAAUUUGAACAGAUCUAACACUAUUCUUUUUUCUAAACUUUUUUGUGAUUAUGUCUUACGUGGAUACCAUACUCUUUUUUGUAUUAUUGUUGUCCAGUCACUGGAAUAACGCUUUUCUAAGUAUUUAAGGAACAGCCAUGUAGAUCUAGACAUAAUGCUGAUGGGUUGGGUUUGCAUAGAAUGCAUGCAUAUUUACGUUCUUUACAUUUUGCGACAGUCCCAAAACUUUUAUUUAACCAAAUUUUGCUACUUCUGUUUUUAGAUGCGCUGUAUCCAUAACUACCGAUUGGCACCUGAUAUUUGUGCUCAAAAUGUAGUAUGAACCAACAAAAUGGUCUCAUUGUAAUGCCAAGAGAUGUACUCUUUUGAUUGUUUUAUUUUUAUGGUUUAUCGAUUAUAUUUUGCAUUUCCCCCUUUGUGCAAGACAAACAGGGAAUGUUUACUAAUUUAGAAACACACUGGUUAUGUGAAGAGCUGAUUGGUAAAUAUGAAGCUGAUUUUGAAUUCAUACAUACAUAGAGAAGCUUGGACUAUUGAGGAGGAACAUGCACUGAUUAAUGCCCAUCGGGUAUAUGGGAAUAGAUGGGCAGAAAUAGCAAAAGUUCUUCCUAGAAGGUACCGUCAAACAACUUGCAUCUUAUUGGGAUAAUGUAGCCUAGCCUUGGCCCUCUUUGUUACCAGAUUCCUAGCCCCUGCCACUUCCUCAUUCUUUCCUGCACAUCAUAACGUGUACCACACAUUUGAACAUUGCAGAAAUCGGGUACUUCUAUUUGUUCUUAGGUUCUUCUCACCUAUAGCUAAAGUCAAAGACGACAAAACCAAGUGGAUUAUUGGAGUUACAAGAUACACAAAAUCAUCGGUAAGUUUCUAUCCUUUCAAAUGGCCGGAUUAUGAAUUUUGAUCAGUUUGCCUGACUUGUUUUAAACUGAAUCCUUGAUUCCUUGAUAACUUUGAUCGUAAACUGAUUCCCAAAUAUUUUUGACUCAUAUGAUGCUUAUUACAUCACAGGUCAUCUAAAUCUUCUUUUCUAAUAUGACUGUUGGUGCUGCUCAUGAGGUAAGCUACUGUUCUUGCUUUCAAGAAUAAAUCAUUUACAUUGUGGUCAGUCACAUUUUAAGUUGCUCAUGCCAUUUCAGGCUAGCCACCGGCUUGGAAGGGAUGAGAGGCAAUCACUGUUGUCAACUUGAAACGUAUAAUUUUUUAGGUAUGAAUGGCUUACCUUAGCCAGAUUUUCUAUAAGAAUUUUGCUCAUGUUACAUGCAUUGCUUUCUCUAGUAAGUAGAACAAGAACACAUUUAACUUUUAUUUUCUGUUCAUAGUCCUACAAACUUGUGGGUAGUGUUGAAGAUAAUCGCUUAAUCAACCUCUAAUCGUUUUCAGGAAUGAAGAUCUGAAUCACCCUCCCGCCUCGAGAGAAAUCAGUUUAGUCAUUCAGGUUCUGGUAUUUCUUUAUAUCUUUCCGAAUUUACUUCGGUCUUUCAUGUAUUUGUUUUCUGUUUGUGCCCCUAUCUAUUUCUGUUUCUUGUGUGCAAGCGCUCCAUUCUUUGUGUCCGACUAUGUGUGGCUUGACUCGUGUGUGUGGCUUGACUGUCUGUGUGUGUCACUGUGUGUUUGACUGCGUGUGAAUAUUGCAUUUGACUGUGAUGCGUUACUGUGUGUUUGACUCUGUGUGUGUGAUUGUGUGAAUAUUGUGCAUUUGACUGUGAUGUGUGACUGUGUGAGUAUUGUAUUUUGACAAUGAUUGUGUGUGGCUUGACUUUGUGUGUGUGGCUUGUAUGCUUUGCUGAAUGAUUGGUUGUUGUGGCUUAACACUGCCUCUGCUGGUCCCAAGCCCGGAUGUGAAAAUGUGGAGGGAGUCUGUUUCUUGUGUGCAAGUGCUACAUUGUGUGUGUGACUGUGUGUGUGUGAUGUGUCCGUAUCUAUGUCUGUUUCUUUUGUCUUGAUUGUGCGCAAGUGUUUGAUUAGGUGUGUGCUUGUGUGACCAUGCGUGUAUUGCAUUUGCUUGACGGUGUGGUUUGUAUAACUUGUGUUUUAUAUGUCAGGAUUGAUUGUUGUUUGUUGAAUUUGAACAGAUCUAACACUAUUCUUUUUUCUAAACUUUUUUGUGAUAUUGUCUUAUGUGGAUACCAUACUCUUUUUUGUAUUAUUGUUGUCCAACCACUGGAAUAACGCUUUUCUAAGUAUUUAAGGUACAUCCAUUUAGAUCUAGACAUGAUGCUGAUGGGUUGGGUUUGCAUACAAUGCAGGUAUAUUUACGUUCUUUACAUUUUGCGACAGUCCAAAACUUUUAUUUAGCCAAAUUUUGCUACUUCUGUUUUUAGAUGCGCUGUAUCCAUAACUACCUAUUGGCACCUGAUAUUUGUGCUCAAAAUGCAGUAUGGACCAACAAAAUGGUCUCAUUGCAAGGUGGACACACUGGUUAUGUGAAGAGCUGAUUGGUAAAUAUGAAGCUUAUUUUGAAUUCAUACAUACAGAGAGAAGCUUGGACUAUUGAGGAGGAACAUGCACUGAUUAAUGCCCAUCGGGUAUAUGGGAAUAGAUGGGCAGAAAUAGCAAAAGUUCUUCCUAGAAGGUACCGUCAAACAACUUGCAUCUUAUUGGGAUAAUGUAGCCUAGCCUUGGCCCUCUUUGUUACCAGAUUCCUAGCCCCUGCCACUUCCUCAUUCUUUCCUGCACAUCAUAACGUGUACCACACAUUUGAACAUUGCAGGAAUCGGGUACUUCUAUUUGUUCUUAGGUUCUUCUCACCUAUAGCUAAAGUCAAAGACGACAAAACCAAGUGGAUUAUUGGAGUUACAAGAUACACAAAAUCAUCGGUAAGUUUCUAUCCUUUCAAAUGGCCGGAUUAUGAAUUUUGAUCAGUUUGUCUGACUUGUUUUGAACUGAAUCCUUGAUUCCUUGAUAACUUUGAUCAUAAACUGAUUCUCAAGUAUUUUUGACUCAUAUGAUGCUUAUUACAUCACAGGUCAUCUAAAUCUUCUUUUCUAAUAUGACUGUUGGUGCUGCUCAUGAGGUAAGAUACUGUUCUUGCUUUCAAGAAUAAAUCAUUUACAUUGUGGUCACUCACAUUUUAAGUUGCUCAUGCCAUUUCAGGCUAGCCACCGGCUUGGAAGCGAUGAGAGGCAAUCACUGUUGUCAACUUGAAACGUAUAAUUUUUUAGGUAUGAAUGGCUUACCUUAGCCAGAUUUUCUAUAAGAAUUUUGUUCAUGUUACAUGCCUUGCUUUCUCUAGUAAGUAGAACAAGAACACAUUUAACUUUUAUUUUCUGUUCAUAGUCCUACAAUCUUGUGGGUAGUGUUGAAGAUAAUCGCUUGAUCAACCUAAUCGAGCUCUAAUCGUUUUCAGGAACGAAGAUCUGAAUCACCCUCCCGCCUCGAGAGAAAUCAGUUUGGUCAUUCAUGUUCUGGUAUUUCUUUGUAGCUUUCUGAGUUUACUUCGGUCUUUCAUGUAUUUGCUUUCUGUUUGUGCCCCUAUAUAUUUCUGUUUCUUGUGUGCAAGCGCUCCAUUCUGUGUGUGUCCGACUUUGUGUGGCUUGACUCUCUUGUGUGUGUGGCUUGACUAUCUGUGUGUGUCAUUGUGUGUUUGACUGUGUGUGAAUAUUGCAUUUGACAGUGAUGCGUUACUGUGUGUUUGACUGUGUGUGUGUGAUUGUGUGAAUAUUGUGCAUUUGACUGUGAUGUGUGACUGUGUGAGUAUUGUAUUUUGACAAUGAUUGUGUGUGGCUUGACUGUGUCUGUGUGGCUUGUAUGCUUUGCUGAAUGAUUCGUUGUUGUGGCUUAACACUGCCUCUGCCGGUCCCAAGCCCGGAUGUGAAAAUGUGGAGGGAGUCUGUUUUUGGUGUGCAAGUGCUACGUUGUGUGUGUGAUGUGUCCGUAUCUAUGUCUGUUUCUUUUGUCUUGAUUGUGUGCAAGUGCUUGAUUAAGCCGAUGAGCCAUACAAUGAAGCUAUGGGAGAGAGUCAUUGAGCACCGCUUAAGAAGAAUGACAAGCGUGACCAAAAAUCAGUUUGGUUUCAUGCCUGGGAGGUCGACCAUGGAAGCCAUUUUCUUGGUACGACAACUUAUGGAGAGAUAUAGGGAGCAUAAGAAGGACUUGCAUAUGGUGUUCAUUGACUUGGAGAAGGCCUAUGAUAAGAUACCGCGGAAUGUCAUGUGGUGGGCCUUGGAGAAACACAAAGUCCCAGCAAAGUACAUUACCCUCAUCAAGGACAUGUACAAUAAUGUUGUGACAAGUGUUCGAACAAGUGAUGUCGACACCGAUGACUUCCCGAUUAAGAUAGGACUGCAUCAGGGGUCAGCUUUGAGCCCUUAUCUUUUUGCAUUGGUGAUGGAUGAGGUCACAAGGGGUAUACAAGGAGAUAUCCCAUGGUGUAUGCUCUUUGCGGAUGAUGUGGUGCUAGUUGACGAUAGUCGGACGGGGGUAAAUAGGAAGUUAGAGUUAUGGAGACAAACCUUGGAAUCGAAAGGGGCUUAGUAGAACUAAAACCGAGUACAUGAUGUGCGGUUUCAGUACUACUAGCUGUGAGGAGGAGGAGGUUAGCCUUGAUGGCCAGGUGGUACCUCGGAAGGACACCUUUUGGUAUUUGGGGUCAAUGUUGCAGGAGGAUGGGGGUAUUGAUGAAGAUGUGAACCAUCGAAUCAAAGCCGGAUGGAUGAAGUGGCGCCAAGCUUCUGGCAUUCUCUGUGACAAGAGAGUGCCACAAAAGCUAAAAGGCAAGUUCUACAGGACGGCGGUUCGACCCGCAAUGUUGUAUGGCGCGGAGUGUUGGCCGACUAAAAGGCGACAUGUUCAACAGUUAGGUGUGGCGGAGAUGCGUAUGUUGAGAUGGAUGUGUGGCCACACGAGGAAGGAUCGAGUCCGGAAUGAUGAUAUACGAGAUAGAGUUGGGGUAGCACCAAUUGAGGAGAAGCUUGUCCAACAUUGUUUGAGGUGGUUUGGGCAUAUUCAGCGCAGGCCUACAGAAGCUUCAGUGCAUAGCGGACGGCUAAAGCGUGCGGAGAAUGUCAAGAGAGGGCGGGGUCGACCGAUUUUGACAUGGGAGGAGUCCGUUAAGAGAGACCUGAAGGAUUGGAGUAUCGACAAAGAGCUAGCUAUGGACAGGGGUGCGUGGAAGCUUGCUAUCCAUGUGCCAGAGCCAUGAGUUGGUUGCGAGAUCUUAUGGGUUUCACCUCUAGCCUACCCCAACUUGUUUGGGACUAAAGGCUUUGUUGUUGUUGUUGUUGUUGUUGUGUGCAAGUGCUUGAUUGGGUGUGUGCUUGUGUGACCAUGCGUGUAUUGCAUUUGCUUGACGGUGUGGUUUGUAUAACUUGUGUUUUAUAUGUCAUGAUUGAUUGUUGUUUGUUGAAUUUGAACAGAUCUAACACUAUUCUUUUUUCUAAACUUUUUUAUGAUUAUGUCUUGUGUGGAUACCAUACUCUUUUUUGUAUUAUUGUUGUCCAGUCACUGGAAUAACGCUUUUCUAAGUAUUUAAGGUACAGUCAUGUAGAUCUAGACAUGAUGCUGAUGGGUUGGGUUUGCAUACAAUGCAUGUAUAUUUAUGUUCUUUAAAUUUUGCGACAGUCCCAAAACUUUUAUUUAGCCAAAUUUUGCUACUUCUGUUUUUAGAUGCGUUGUAUCCAUAACUACCUAUUGGCACCUGAUAUUUGUGCUCAAAAUGCAGUAUGGACCAACAAAAUGGUCUCAUUGCAAGGUGGACAUAUAGGCAAGAAAUGUCAAGAGAGGUACUCUUUUGAUUGUUUUAUUUUUAUGGUUUAUGGAUUUUAUUUUGCAUUUCCCCCUUUGUGCAAGACAAACAGGGAAUGUUUACUAAUUUAGAAACACACUGGUUAUGUGAAGAGCUGAUUGGUAAAUAUGAAGCUGAUUUUGAAUUCAUACAUACAGAGAGAAGCUUGGACUAUUGAGUAGGAACAUGCAGUGAUUAAUGCCCAUCGGGUAUAUGGGAAUAGAUGGGCAGAAAUAGCAAAAGUUCUUCCUAGAAGGUACCAUCAAACAACUUGCAUCUUAUUGGGAUAAUGUAGCCUAGCCUUGGCCCUCAUUGUUACCAGAUUCCUAGCCCCUGCCACUUGCUCAUUCUUUCCUGCACAUCAUAACGUGUACCACACAUUUGAACAUUGCACGAAUCGGGUACUUCUAUUUGUUCUUAGCUUCUUGUCACCUAUAGCUAAAAUCAAAGACGACAAAACCAAGUGGAUUAUUGGAGUUACAAGAUACACAAAAUCAUCGGUAAGUUUCUAUCCUUUCAAACGGCCGGAUUAUGAAUUUUGAUCAGUUUGUCUGACUUGUUUUAAACUGAAUCCUUGAUUCCUUGAUAACUUUGAUCAUAAACUGAUUCCCAAGUAUUUUUGACUCAUAUGAUGCUUAUUACAUGACAGGUCAUCUAAAUCUUCUUUUCUAUUAUCACUAUUGUGCUGCUCAUGAGGUAAGCUACUUUUCUUGCUUUCACGAAUAAAUCAUUUACAUUAUGGUCACUCACAUUUAAAGUUGCUCAUGCCAUUUCAGGCUAGCCACCGGCUUGGAAGCGAUGAGAGGCAAUCACUCUUGUCAACUUGAAACGUAUAAUUUUUUAGGUAUGAAUGGCUUACAUUAGCCAGAUUUUCUAUAAGAAUUUUGCUCAUGUUACAUGCCUUGCUUUCUCUAGUAAGUAGAACAAGAACACAUUUAACUUUUCUUUUCUGUUCAUAGUCCUACAAACUUGUGGGUAGUGUUGAAGAUAAUCGCUUAAUCAACCUCUAAUCGUUUUCAGGAACGAAGAUCUGAAUCACCCUCCCGCCUCGAGAGAAAUCAGUUUAGUCAUUCAGGUUCUGGUAUUUCUUUAUAGCUUUCUGAGUUUACUUNNNNNNNNNNNNNNNNNNNNNNNNNNNNNNNNNNNNNNNNNNNNNNNNNNNNNNNNNNNNNNNNNNNNNNNUUCUUGUGUGCAAGCGCUCCAUUCUGUGUGUGUCCGACUUUGUGUGGCUUGACUCUCUUGUGUGUGUGGCUUGACUAUCUGUGUGUGUCAUUGUGUGUUUGACUGUGUGUGAAUAUUGCAUUUGACAGUGAUGCGUUACUGUGUGUUUGACUGUGUGUGUGUGAUUGUGUGAAUAUUGUGCAUUUGACUGUGAUGUGUGACUGUGUGAGUAUUGUAUUUUGACAAUGAUUGUGUGUGGCUUGACUGUGUCUGUGUGGCUUGUAUGCUUUGCUGAAUGAUUCGUUGUUGUGGCUUAACACUGCCUCUGCCGGUCCCAAGCCCGGAUGUGAAAAUGUGGAGGGAGUCUGUUUUUGGUGUGCAAGUGCUACGUUGUGUGUGUGAUGUGUCCGUAUCUAUGUCUGUUUCUUUUGUCUUGAUUGUGUGCAAGUGCUUGAUUAAGCCGAUGAGCCAUACAAUGAAGCUAUGGGAGAGAGUCAUUGAGCACCGCUUAAGAAGAAUGACAAGCGUGACCAAAAAUCAGUUUGGUUUCAUGCCUGGGAGGUCGACCAUGGAAGCCAUUUUCUUGGUACGACAACUUAUGGAGAGAUAUAGGGAGCAUAAGAAGGACUUGCAUAUGGUGUUCAUUGACUUGGAGAAGGCCUAUGAUAAGAUACCGCGGAAUGUCAUGUGGUGGGCCUUGGAGAAACACAAAGUCCCAGCAAAGUACAUUACCCUCAUCAAGGACAUGUACAAUAAUGUUGUGACAAGUGUUCGAACAAGUGAUGUCGACACCGAUGACUUCCCGAUUAAGAUAGGACUGCAUCAGGGGUCAGCUUUGAGCCCUUAUCUUUUUGCAUUGGUGAUGGAUGAGGUCACAAGGGGUAUACAAGGAGAUAUCCCAUGGUGUAUGCUCUUUGCGGAUGAUGUGGUGCUAGUUGACGAUAGUCGGACGGGGGUAAAUAGGAAGUUAGAGUUAUGGAGACAAACCUUGGAAUCGAAAGGGGCUUAGUAGAACUAAAACCGAGUACAUGAUGUGCGGUUUCAGUACUACUAGCUGUGAGGAGGAGGAGGUUAGCCUUGAUGGCCAGGUGGUACCUCGGAAGGACACCUUUUGGUAUUUGGGGUCAAUGUUGCAGGAGGAUGGGGGUAUUGAUGAAGAUGUGAACCAUCGAAUCAAAGCCGGAUGGAUGAAGUGGCGCCAAGCUUCUGGCAUUCUCUGUGACAAGAGAGUGCCACAAAAGCUAAAAGGCAAGUUCUACAGGACGGCGGUUCGACCCGCAAUGUUGUAUGGCGCGGAGUGUUGGCCGACUAAAAGGCGACAUGUUCAACAGUUAGGUGUGGCGGAGAUGCGUAUGUUGAGAUGGAUGUGUGGCCACACGAGGAAGGAUCGAGUCCGGAAUGAUGAUAUACGAGAUAGAGUUGGGGUAGCACCAAUUGAGGAGAAGCUUGUCCAACAUUGUUUGAGGUGGUUUGGGCAUAUUCAGCGCAGGCCUACAGAAGCUUCAGUGCAUAGCGGACGGCUAAAGCGUGCGGAGAAUGUCAAGAGAGGGCGGGGUCGACCGAUUUUGACAUGGGAGGAGUCCGUUAAGAGAGACCUGAAGGAUUGGAGUAUCGACAAAGAGCUAGCUAUGGACAGGGGUGCGUGGAAGCUUGCUAUCCAUGUGCCAGAGCCAUGAGUUGGUUGCGAGAUCUUAUGGGUUUCACCUCUAGCCUACCCCAACUUGUUUGGGACUAAAGGCUUUGUUGUUGUUGUUGUUGUUGUGUGCAAGUGCUUGAUUGGGUGUGUGCUUGUGUGACCAUGCGUGUAUUGCAUUUGCUUGACGGUGUGGUUUGUAUAACUUGUGUUUUAUAUGUCAUGAUUGAUUGUUGUUUGUUGAAUUUGAACAGAUCUAACACUAUUCUUUUUUCUAAACUUUUUUAUGAUUAUGUCUUGUGUGGAUACCAUACUCUUUUUUGUAUUAUUGUUGUCCAGUCACUGGAAUAACGCUUUUCUAAGUAUUUAAGGUACAGUCAUGUAGAUCUAGACAUGAUGCUGAUGGGUUGGGUUUGCAUACAAUGCAUGUAUAUUUAUGUUCUUUAAAUUUUGCGACAGUCCCAAAACUUUUAUUUAGCCAAAUUUUGCUACUUCUGUUUUUAGAUGCGUUGUAUCCAUAACUACCUAUUGGCACCUAAUAUUUGUGCUCAAAAUGCAGUAUGGACCAACAAAAUGGUCUCAUUGCAAGGUGGACAUAUAGGCAAGAAAUGUCAAGAGAGGUACUCUUUUGAUUGUUUUAUUUUUAUGGUUUAUGGAUUUUAUUUUGCAUUUCCCCCUUUGUGCAAGACAAACAGGGAAUGUUUACUAAUUUAGAAACACACUGGUUAUGUGAAGAGCUGAUUGGUAAAUAUGAAGCUGAUUUUGAAUUCAUACAUACAGAGAGAAGCUUGGACUAUUGAGUAGGAACAUGCACUGAUUAAUGCCCAUCGGGUAUAUGGGAAUAGAUGGGCAGAAAUAGCAAAAGUUCUUCCUAGAAGGUACCGUCAAACAACUUGCAUCUUAUUGGGAUAAUGUAGCCUAGCCUUGGCCCUCAUUGUUACCAGAUUCCUAGCCCCUGCCACUUGCUCAUUCUUUCCUGCACAUCAUAACGUGUACCACACAUUUGAACAUUGCACGAAUCGGGUACUUCUAUUUGUUCUUAGCUUCUUGUCACCUAUAGCUAAAAUCAAAGACGUCAAAACCAAGUGGAUUAUUGGAGUUACAAGAUACACAAAAUCAUCGGUAAGUUUCUAUCCUUUCAAACGGCCGGAUUAUGAAUUUUGAUCAGUUUGUCUGACUUGUUUUAAACUGAAUCCUUGAUUCCUUGAUAACUUUGAUCAUAAACUGAUUCCCAAGUAUUUUUGACUCAUAUGAUGCUUAUUACAUGACAGGUCAUCUAAAUCUUCUUUUCUAUUAUCACUAUUGUGCUGCUCAUGAGGUAAGCUACUUUUCUUGCUUUCACGAAUAAAUCAUUUACAUUAUGGUCACUCACAUUUAAAGUUGCUCAUGCCAUUUCAGGCUAGCCACCGGCUUGGAAGCGAUGAGAGGCAAUCACUCUUGUCAACUUGAAACGUAUAAUUUUUUAGGUAUGAAUGGCUUACAUUAGCCAGAUUUUCUAUAAGAAUUUUGCUCAUGUUACAUGCCUUGCUUUCUCUAGUAAGUAGAACAAGAACACAUUUAACUUUUCUUUUCUGUUCAUAGUCCUACAAACUUGUGGGUAGUGUUGAAGAUAAUCGCUUAAUCAACCUCUAAUCGUUUUCAGGAACGAAGAUCUGAAUCACCCUCCCGCCUCGAGAGAAAUCAGUUUAGUCAUUCAGGUUCUGGUAUUUCUUUAUAGCUUUCUGAGUUUACUUCGGUCUUUCAUGUAUUUGCUUUAUGUUUGUCCCCCUUUCUAUUUCUGUUUCUUGUGUGCAAGCGCUCCGUUCUGUGUGUGUCCGACUUUGUGUGGCUUGACUCUCGUGUGUGUGGCUUGACUGUCUGUGUCUGUCACUGUGUGUUUGACUGCGUGUGAAUAUUGCAUUUGACUGUGAUGCAUUACUGUGUGUUUGACUGUGUGUGUGUGAUUGUGUGAAUAUUGUGCAUUUGACUGUGAUGUGUGACUGUGUGAGUAUUGUAUUUUGACAAUGAUUGUGUGUGGCUUGACUGUGUGUGUGUGGCUUGUAUGCUUUGCUGAAUGAUUGGUUGUUGUGGCUUAACACUGCCUCUGCCGGUCCCAAGCCCGGAUGUGAAAAUGUGGAGGGAGUCUGUUUCUUGUGUGCAAGUGCUACAUUGUGUGUGUGACUGUGUGUGUUAUGUGUCCGUAUCUAUGUCUGUUUCUUUUGUCUUGAUUGUGUGCAAGUGCUUGAUUGGGUGUGUGCUUGUGUGACCAUGUGUGUAUUGCAUUUGCUUGAUGGUGUGGUUUGUAUAAUUUAUGUUUUAUAUGUCAGGAUUGAUUGUUGUUUGUUGAAUUUGAACAGAUCUAACACUAUUCUUUUUUCUAAACUUUUUUGUGAUUAUGUCUUAUGUGGAUACCAUACUCUUUUUCGAUUUAUUGUUGUCCAGUCACUGGAAUAACGCUUUUCUAAGUAUUUAAGGUGCAACCAUGUAGAUCUAGACAUGAUGCUGAUGGGUUGGGUUUGCAUACAAUGCAGGUAUAUUUACGUUCUUUACAUUUUGUGACAGUCCCAAAACUUUUAUUUAGCCAAAUUUUGCUACUUCUGUUUUUAGAUGCGUUGUAUCCAUAACUACGUAUUGGCACCUGAUAUUUGUGCUCAAAAUACAGUAUGGACCAACAAAAUGGUCUCAUUGCAAGGUGGACAUAUGGGCAAGAAAUGUCAAGAGAGGUACUCUUUUGAUUGUUUUAUUUUUAUGGUUUAUGGAUUAUAUUUUGCAUUUCCCCCUUGGUGCAAGACAAACAGGGAAUGUUUACUAAUUUAGAAACACAGUGGUUAUGUGAAGAGUUGAUUGGUAAAUAUGAAGCUGAUUUUGAAUUCAUACAUGCAGAGAGAAGCUUGGACUAUUGAGGAGGAACAUGCACUGAUUAAUGCCCAUCGGGUAUAUGAGAAUAGAUGGGCAGAAAUAGCAAAAGUUCUUCCUAGAAGGUACCGUCAAACAACUUGCAUCUUAUUGGGAUAAUGUAGCCUAGCCUUGGCCCUCUUUGUUACCAGAUUCCUGGCCCCUGCCACUUCCUCAUUCUUUCCUGCACAUCAUAACGUGUACCACACAUGUGAACAUUGCAGGAAUCGGGUACUUCUAUUUGUUCUUAGGUUUUUCUCACCUAUAGCUAAAGUCAAAGACGGCAACACCAAGUGGAUUAUUGGAGUUACAAGAUACACAAAAUCAUCGGUAAGUUUCUAUCCUUCAAAUGGCCGGAUUAUGAAUUUUGAUCAGUUUGUUUGACUUGUUUUAAACUGAAUCCUUGAUUCCUUGAUAACUUUGAUCAUGAACUGAUUCCCAAGUAUUUUUGACUCAUAUGAUGCUUAUUACAUCACAGGUCAUCUAAAUCUUCUUUCUAAUAUGACUGUUGGUGCUGCUCAUGAGGUAAGCUACUUUUCUUGCUUUCAAGAAUAAAUCAUUUACAUUGUGGUCACUCACAUUUUAAGUUGCUCAUGCCAUUUCAGGCUAGCCACCGGCUUGGAAGCGAUGAGAGGCAAUCACUGUUGUCAACUUGAAACGUGUAAUUUUUUAGGUAUGAAUGGCCUACCUUAGCCAGAUUUUCUAUAAGAAUUUUGCUCAUGUUACAUGCCUUGCUUUCUCUAGUAAGUAGAACAAGAACACAUUUAACUUUUCUUUUCUGUUCAUAGUCCUACAAACUUGUGGGUAGUGUUGAAGAUAAUCGCUUAAUCAACCUAAUCAACCUCUAAUCGUUUUCAGGAACGAAGAUCUGAAUCACCCUCCCGCCUCGAGAGAAAUUAGUUUAGUCAUUCAGGUUCUGGUAUUUCUUUAUAGCUUUCUGAGUUUACUUCGGUCUUUCAUGUAUUUGCUUUCUGUUUGUGCCCCUAUCUAUUUAUGUUUCUGUGUGUGACUGUGUGUGUGAUGUGUCCGUAUCUAUGUCUGUUUCUUUUGUCUUGAUUGUGUGCAAGUGCUUGAUUGUGUGUGUGCUUGUGUGACCUUGUGUGUAUUGCAUUUGCUUGAUGGUGUGGCCUGUAUGCUUUGCUGAAUGAUUGGUGUUGUAUAACUUGUGUUUUUGUAUUGUUGUGGUUUAACACUGCCUUUGCCUGUCCCAAGCCCGGAUGCAAAAAUGUGGAGGGAGCCGCAGUUACCUCCUUUGUAUUGUUUGCCAUAGAAUGUGGAUAGAAAUUACUCUGUCCUAAUUGAAUAGUGAAUCUUCACAUAAUGUCGAAGCAUGUGAUUCAGGCUAUGAGAUGCAUCCUUCCUUGCUAUGAAAAAUCUAGCAAGUCUAAUUGUUGUUAGAAUUUGUCCCGUCCCGUCUCCUAAGUUAAUCUCGCUGGUUUCUUAAAUCUUGUUAGCACCGAUGUUCUUCUCUGCUAAAAUAUACACUUAAAAACCAGUCAUCUGUUUUUUAUUCUGCUUUAGGUUGAAUUUUUGUUUGGACUCCGACCCAUGUAGGGUGUCCUUUUCAGUUGUGUCAUUUUCUAGAGGGGGUGAGCUUCUAAGAGUGUGUGUGUGUGAGGGAGGGGGGAGGAGCUGACUUCGGCGCACGACCAGUAAGGCACUCUGUAGGCUCGUGCGUAGCUGACUUCAGCAUACGACCAGUAAGGCACUGUGUAGGCCUGUGCAUCCCCUCUUCCCCUUUUUGAUUCAAUUCAUUUUAGAUGAAGAGCGGCCACCUCAUUCUGGUCCGAGAGCCAAAAUCCGAUUCUCCUCGGUGUUCGAGUGCAGCUAUGCGGGGUGAUGGGGGAGAAAUUGGUAGCCAUCCAGCCGAACCUAGCGACGAUAGCAAAAUUGGUAGCGUUGAAUAUAAUCUGUUUGUCUUCGUGUCUUCGUAUGUCCACCCCGCCUCCACUCGAGAAUAGCAUAUGAAUUAUUUGUUUUGAAUUUCACAUGAGAUAACUUUGGUCAAUGAUGUAAAAAUGAGUUAUUGCUCUUUGCUCAUCGGUUCAGCUGACAGCUGACGGGGGCUGUGCUAGCAUGUGUUUUAUUGGGUCGAAAGUGGUGGUGUUUUUUCUGUCAUUUCUGUUAGUUCAGUGUGUCGUGUACGUGCUCUUCAUUAGCAUCCCAUUGUUAGAUUGUGGAUACAAAUGAAGCCUCCUCAGCUGUUUCGAUUCUGGGUCGUCGGAUCGUCUCCCCGAGCGCGUCCUAGCCGUUGGAUCUCCGGGUGGACCGAUACUGGCCGUUGGAUCAUGAGAUGGAGAGGUCCGGGCCGUCGGAUCAAUAGCAAACACUGCUACAAUGAAUAGUGUCCACCCUUGUGUGCCACCGCCUGUAAAUCUCAUGCUCCACCGAGGGCAUUAUUGUCUUUUCACAGGCUGGCGUAUAAAAGGCCGCAUGCCCAUGUGUAACCCUAGCCUCCCCUUCCCCUCCUCCCGUCCUCGCCUCCGCCCCGUCGCCCCCGUCUCCCCCUCGCGCUCACGCCCCUCUCCUUCGUUCCUCCGACGCCGUGUUCCCCUCCUCCCCUCCUCGUCGUUGUUCUCCUGCCACUCGUCGCCGCUGCUCUCCCCGCCGAGCUCGCCGCACUCGCGUUGUCCGGACAUGGACACAUCCGGGCGGAUCCGGUCGCUAGGCGGCAUGGGGCUGUGGAUCCGACGAGCUCACUGCGGCGGCCGGCAGUUUCCUGAGAGAGAGAGAUAGAGAGGAAAGUGAGAGAGAGUGCUAGGGGAGGAGAAGAAAAGAGUGGAGGGAGAGAUGCGGCAGGGCAGCGGUCAGUCCGUCGGCGCUGCACACGGAGGAGACGCGGCAAGGAGGAGCACGAGCCACCGCAGCCACUGGAGCAGUGGGUCGUCGCGCCAUCGACGGGAGGAAGCCGUGCGGAGUGCGCUGUCGCCACCGGCUGCGCUAGGCGACGCCGACAGGCACCAGUGGAUCGAUCCGGUGCCAAAAACCGUCCCAGGCCCGCUGCAUCUCCGGCUCUGGCGAGGCACUCCUGUAGAGGCCAUUCUCUUCCUCACCACGUGUCGCUGGGAGGAUCCAGAAGAGGGGGAGCGGCAACAAAUCGCGACGGUAAGCCAUGCCCAUGCCCUCUUCCCCCUCACUUUUAUUUUCAUCUCUGAGCUCGAUCUGCUGAUGCAUUUCCUCCUCCCUAAUCGCCUCUUGGGACCUGGCAGGAGGAGCAUGGGCUGCAAAUUCGGAUGAAGAGGGGAAAGGAGAUUAACAGUUCUGUCACAAAGAUAACACCAUAGACCAAGCAAGAGGUUUUAUGUGCUGCUUGCUGCAUGUAUGUGUUGGGUAUUUUCAGAGCAUUGAAAUUAAAUAAACACUUUCAGUCCAUCAUUUUGUGUUGGUAAGCUCGUCAGCUUCUGUUUAUUUGCUACCCUUGGGCAUGUUAUUCCUACAGUCAUUAAUUUCCGCAUUCUAAUAUUCCUGUUAAGUGUCAUGUUUGAGCCACAAACUGCUUUGGUGUUUAUUCAUGGUUUGGAGAGAUGACCAAUCUGAUAUUUUUGUUUGUAACAGGAAGUAAGACUAAUUUGUAGGGGUGUACUCAAGUUACAUUAGCGAUUUAUUUUCUUCGAGAUUUGGUGGCCUUUUGUGAUGUUAAAUGUAUCCAUUUGUCAUUCCGUUGAUUUCUUAAUUCUACAAUAACAACAAACGCCAGCUAAAUUGUGGUCUAUAGAGAAAGGAACGACGUACACCUAGGUUAUAUGAGAAACCAUAUGGGCUAAAGAGCCUCGAUAGGCUAGCCGUGCAUCAUUUAUUCUUUGGUGUCUUCUAGAGAAAAAGAAGGAAUGGCUUCAGGCCAAAGCCUUCGAUAAAAUGACAAUCACUUACUUUUCUAGGAUAUAUAUAGAUUUCUUGAAUUACCUGCAGCAUACUUCUUUUUCAUCUAACAUGUGUCUACCGGGCAAUUUAAACAGAUACUAAUGAUAUAAUUAGGCACAUAUAUGAUUAUGUUUGACUUCACCUAUAAUAGAAUGCAUUUCUCUCACCUUAUUUCUGCAGGACCUUGUUGCUUGCAUUCUCGUGUCUUUUGGCAAGGAGAAAAUUGUCAUUUGGAGGGGAAAAGACAGCUGAAAACAUGCAAGAUAGUAUAUGCAAAAGACACACCCUUCAGUUAUUGAAUCAGAGUUCAGCGGUGAAGAACACUACAAUUUUUUGGUUGAUGGAUUGGUCUCAAUAGAUUGUAAGGGAUUUCCAUGAAGUGGUUAUUCAAAGAAUGGAACCAAUGUUAUGGUGAGUCUCUCUUGUAGGAAUCUACUAAAAUUUGGCUUGAAGAAUGUUACAAGACGUAUUUCUCUCCCCUUGUGUAUGACUUUGUUCCUUACAUUCUUGUAUGUUUUGACAAAGAACAAACAUUAUUUGUAGUGAAAAAGACUAUUUAAAGCAUACACGGUAGUAGCCUGAAAUAUUAUUUGUUGCCUUAGUUAUAUUGAUCUAUAUGACGAAUUUCAUCCUAAUAUGUAUGCGUACAUUUCUUUUGUUAUAGAUUUUGAUUGCUCGGCAAAGUGCAAAGCAACGAAAAGCAUCACGUAUAGCUAUUUUGGAAUGCAAGAUUAGGAUGUGCUCCUCUUUGCUUCUCAUUUCCGCACUCUAAUUUUGACUUGCUAAUAUAUAGGCUUUCUAAAAUGGACGUGCAUAGAUCUGAGAAAGAAGAGAACAGGAAUCUAGCGGACGGAGGUGAUUUUUCUCUCUUGUGAACAACCUAUCAAGUUCCUUUUUUCAACAGUUUGAACGACAGUGAUAAAUUCCCUUGUAAAACACUUGGUUUGAACUAUAAUACAUUUUGGUGCAGGUCAUGUAGUAUUCACCAAUAGAUGAUAGAACCACAUAUUUUGGAAAUUCCUUGACAAAAAACACAAGAGCAUCAUUGUUUGGUCAAUUGCAGGUCAAUGUUGGCACUGGCCAGGUAAUCAUUGUUCUUGUCAAUGUACGAACCAAACUACGUUGCUCUACUUUUUGGUGCCCUGCAAAUGAGGUCUUCAUUGUAUUAUCUUUGUCCAAUGCCAGUAACCCUGUUACUCUCUGGCUGCAUGUUUGGGUGCGUAGGGUCCCCAUUGUGUGAAAAACUUUUUAAAAUUCUGAUUUAGUCGGGGUACAAAUUGUUAAUAGUCAGCCUUUUUAUAUGAAAAGGAAAACAACCUUUUUUAUGUGUUACUGCCGUUUAUUUUGGAUAUAUUAGCCUUUCUUACACAUUAGCGUUUAUUUUAAAUAAUCAACUUAUACUGGACGACUGGUGCAGUUUCCAAACAGUAUAUGGACCUUAAUUCCUAUUUUUUUUGGCCCCAGGUAGAUGUUACAACCCACUUGCUAGAUAUGCACAUUCCUUUUUUUCUAUCAUGCUCAUAUUUUUUUAGACCAGAACUCCCAAAGAUCUUUACUGUGUACUACAAAUAUGUUUAUGUUUUUACAUUGAUAAACAUGCUUUUGGUCGCACUGGACAAGAACAGUUCUAGGAUUUGGUGCUUAUAGUUUGUUGUCAACUACUUCUACUGAUAACUCAUAUAUUUAUAGAUUGUGUGCAUUAUGGCAGACCCUCAUUGGAUAACUAUGUGUUCUUCUUUGUAAAUUGGACGUGAUUGGUCAGUAAGAUGCACAACGAUUUUUGGAACUGAUAUCUUUACUUCAAGCGGAUCGGUUUUUCCUUACAAAACUGUGCUGUUAUUUUCACCUGAAUUUAUUUAAAGGAGUCGUAUAAAUUCCAAAUUUCUGAAAUAAGAUGAUCUGGCUUGUAUUUAAAAACAUGUUGCAGGUUUCUUUAUCGUGAGAAGAUUUGCUUUUCUUUGACUCUGUAAAAGAAUUUUCAUAGGACUUUUGGGAAAUAUGAAAGCCCAAAUAUUGCUUUGCCAGCAUAUACCAUCUGAUCUAAUAUUUCUCACCCCCUUCUACUUCAGAUCAAGCAGGCAGUGGCGACACUGGACGAGGCGUCCUUGCACUGCAAGGCUGCCCUCGACAUAUGUGAAAAGCUUGGCGAGUUAAUUCUUUUCCUCGAAUCAAACGGAAAUCUGAAAACUAUCAAAGAGAUACCAAAUGAUGAAUAUUUCAUAUGUCGACAGGCAUGGUAAGACGUGUUUUGGUAGGUCAGUUCUGAGCAUGCUUAUUUUUAAACCUGAAACAGUCUUUAUAUUAGCGGGUUCUCUAAAUUGAUUGUUUUGAAUUUCACUAAUCUCUUUCAAUUAUGAGCAUGAUUCAGUGUCCUGCAUUUUAGAAAUCUCAAGCUUGAAUUGCUCUGUUUUCGGAUUAAAACCUUCUUGAGUUGUGCAAUCACAAAUAUUUACACACAGAGAAAGAAACUUGGAUAUUCUUAAUCACACAAAAGGUGUUUUCUUACAUGUAGGUGCCUUCUUUUAAUCUAUGCAGAGCCAGGUUACACGUAGUUAGGUUAUUUAGUUAAUACAAUCUUAAAUAUAAGUUAUUCGUGUUCUUUUGAUUUUGUUUGAUUAUGAUAAGAAAAAGAAGAAAUGCUUGUAUGAUGGCAUUAUGGUCCAGAGUAGUGAUUUUCUUUUCACAGCUCAAACUCUACCUCUUUGAUCUAUCUCAUAUCGCUGAAAUUGUGUUCUUUUUGUUUUGUUUAUCCCAGGUUGACUAUGAUGUGCUCAUCGUUGACUCCACCACCGUUGGUUUUGAGGAUGGUACCUCAAGAAUAAACAGACCUGUGAGCACGCCGUCCUUGCAUUCACUCUUGGAGUGAAGAAGAGUAUCUGCUGUUUAAUAAGGUAUGCUUGCUAUUAAACUUUGAAACGCUGAUUCUCUUGGGUGACCAUAAGAUUUCUGUACUAUUUUGCUAUCCACUUGAUCAGAGGGGUUUUGAAUAAUGUAGUACAUUGACAUUACCCAUGUUCAUUAGUACAACAACCCUUUCUAUAAUUUGAUGGAGCCAUUGAAAUUCUGGAGGUGAACAUGUUUUAUAUUAGAUUGAGUGUGAUAGAACCAAAUGUAUGUUCUAUCAUGUUGAUCUAUAGUUUUGUUGCAUAUUGUUGGUGUCAAACUCUUUCUCCGAUUUCACAUGAUCUAAUUAGUGUUCUAUACAGAACAACCCUUUUGGGUUAUGACUAAUCUCUCAAUUAUUUGGUCUGGUCCCUCCACUAAUAUGUCAUUACUUCACAAUUGAAGUUUUCAGUGUGAAACAAUAUUGUAUCUCCUGCCACUAAAGAGAUCUCAUAAGGAACAUGUAAAUGAUACUUGGAAAAAAUGAAGGCAACAUUUUUUAUACAUUAUUUUGUGGCGCAUUUUGACAGAGUUACUCUACAAUAAGAUGCCAUCAGUGCAAACCAAGUAUGUAAUUGUUGUAUUCUUGAUCGGCCAACAUGGUUUCUCUUCUGUGUUUAUCACAAAUAUAUGCAACCUGAAGCUACUAUACUAUGCAUAUGCCACUUACCAUUUUGUUCUCUAUAAUUCUAUAUGCAUUUAGUUGAAAAUGGUUAUGCCGCUUACUUCAGAAGAUAUUUUCUACUGAUUUAGCUGUGGUGUACUUUAUAAUAUGGUAGCUUAUAAAACAUACCAAGUUUUUUCUCUGUUUGAAUUUAGUUGAUCCGCUGCUACUGAAGAGAUCUAAAUUUUUUUGCAGAGCCUUCUGAUCUUCGUACUAUAAAGACUGGAUGUGAUGGCCAUUGUGCUUACUAUCAAAACUGUUACUUGAUGAGAACAUUCUAAGCUAAUUCAAGAUAUGUGCUUCCCCCUUGAUGAAUUAUUAUACAUACAUCAGCAGGAAAAACGUGUUUAAUCUACCAUGAACGUAAAUGGAUGAUAGCAGGAUGUUAAAACUUCAUAUAUGUUGUUGCUCAUCGGAUAUAACUAUAACAUGAUGGUCUCAGUCUAUUUUUCAGAGUUCGAAACCUAUAUUAGUCAUCAUGAGAGUGAGAUUUGUAAAUUCCACCUUGAAUCAGUUAACACUUUCCCUUUGCUGUACAAUUUUUUUGUUCUUAUGAUGGUACCAUGCUUGCUAAUUAUAAGAUGUACAAAUAAACUAUUCCUUUGUUUGUCUAGAAAUAGUUUUUCUACUUUCUAUGCAUUGAAGAGAUAGCAAAUCCCUUGCUACAUGUACUAGGGCGAUGCCCAGGUUCACCAAAGGGUCUUUUCAUGCAUGAAAAAGAGAGUAUAUAUCUUCUAGCUAUUAUCAGGUCGUAGGUGUACACAUGGUUAUUGAGUACCAUGACAUAAUCAUCCAUAGUUUUGUGAAAUUUGAAUUCCCAUCUCUUUAUCGUAUUAUUCAUUUUGCACUCGGCUUUCAUAGAAGAUAAAGGUUUGUUUUGUUUUGUUCAUAUGACCUGUUUUGGCUUUUGAGAUCAGUUGAAAGCUCUUGAUAUUUUGAAGUUUAUACUGCACUUCACAUUAAAAUAUCUGGGCAUAUGUUCCUUUAUUCAGCGAAGUGAACACCUAUACUCAGAUGCUUUUUCCACAGGCAUUCACCGUUUACUUGAUUACUGAUGGAAGGAUCUCCGUGCCAAUUGCUGUUGGGAACCAUUUGCCUCUACACCGAUGACCCUCAUGUUGUAUUAUACCAUGAGCUACCAUGACGUCCUCCACCGACCGCUAUUUGAACCUCAGCGCAUUCUUCUGUAAAAAUGACUCGCAUCAAGUCUUUUGCGCUUUCCUCUUGACUUUCUAAAUGCGGAUCAUAUUAUGUGUUAUUGCUUUCUUUAAGAUAUAUCACUGGCCAUGGAUUUCCUUUUAUCCGUCACCACCUUCAUACCUUUCUAUCCUGGAAUUUAUAUGGUGUACUGAGCUAUAUGGGAUUGGUGUUGAUUAGGUUGGCACGUGGCAUGCAACUAAACUUAAUUGUACCGGACCACUAUUGUUAUAUAAGUAUCUAUACCUCUUGGUUAAGGUCCCAUCAAAACUGAGGCAUUAUAGAUGCCUAAAUUUUUUUGGGUCGGUUCAUGGAUGGUGCUUUUGCUAUGUUCUAUUUUAUAUGCAAUACUCAAGUUUCUUUGUUACCAAGUUGGAUAUGGCCGCACCUGGCAGGGGUGCGGCAAGCCGCAUUUCCUACCAGGUUCGAUAUGACCGCACUUGGCAGGGGUGCGGUGGUGCGGCAAGCCGCACUUUCCAUCUAGUGAGGGAUAAUAUACCUUGUAUGCAGAUUUUUGGGACUCGGUUCGUUG